CUUCUUUUUCUUCUUCUCUUCACCGUGGGCGGCGCCCUCGCCGCCGCCGACACCGGGGAUCUUCUGCUUGAUCUUGUCCACCAAGCCCUCCUUGUGUUCGCCCUCCUUGUGUUCCCCGCCGUGAUGCUGCUGCUGAUGGUGAACAUCAGUAGUGCCGACACCGGGGAUCUGCUGCUUGAUCUUGUCCACCAAGCCCUCCUUGUGUUCGCCGCCGUGAUACUGCUGCUGAUGGUGGACAUCAGUAGUGUGGUGGUCCCCACUAUGGUGCUCUCCCUUGUGCUUGUCCUCCUCCUUUUGCCCUCCUCCCAUGUGAAGGGCUUCUCCGAUCUUGUGAAUAACUCCUGACAUUUUCCCUUAAAAUGACUCUGUUCCUCUUCUUUUCUUUUCAAUGAAAAAUAGUUGUUUGCGAUCUUCUUCUGGUUGUUGUUGUUCUUGUUGGGUGAUCUUGGCUUGGUAUUUAUAGGCUCCAAAAGGAGGGACUAGAAUUAGGAUUAGAUUAUAGAUUAUUUUAAUACAUUUUAUGGCAAAUUCUGAUUUGGAAAGAUAAGAUUAUCCUUUUGGUUUUCCUUAUUUACCCUUUUGCACCCAUUACGUGUACGCGUCUUCGUGGGCUUUUUGGGUAUUUCAAUUAUAUCGCCAAUGCUAAAUCGACACGUUGCAUAUCAGCCGCGGUACUGCCGUAUGUAGUUGUCCAGAAAUCGAGUCGAUUCUCGAUCGUACAAUAAUUAAAUAAUAUUUCAUACGAAAUGAGUUUAGAUAUAUUUUGAAAAUUUAUUUUUAAUUUAAUUAUACGUGUUAUAUAUUUGUUAAUCGAAUAGAGGUCCCACGUAACAGAGUGUUUCUCUAAUCUUUCAUUGCUUUUAAUUAAUUUUACCCAAAUAAAAAAAAAAAGGAAAAUUUAGAGAGAGAGAGAGAGAUAGCGAAUUAGAAGUUGAUUGUAAUAUCGACACCUGUCAGACAAUCAAAUAUCGUUAGUUAAAAAUCAGUUGUCCAUAGUCAUGGUCAUAGAUGGCGAAAUUGAUACUUAUUUUAAAAAACAAAACAAAACAAAACGAAACGAAACUAAACUAACAGAUGUUGAAAUGCAGUUCCGUGUUAACAGUCUGUGAUGAAUCUUUAUCUUUGAGUAUACCAUUCAAGAAAUUAUCAUUCAAAAAUUUAUUUAAAGCAGCAGCAAAUCACCUUCUAAUUCCUGAAUCAAAUUAAUUCGAUUUUUUUCGAGUCGAUCAAUUCAUUAGAGAAUUAACGGGCUAAGUUAAAGUUUUGUUAGUUAUUUUUUUUUAUAUUCCUUUAGAUGAUAUGAUUGUCAUUGUCUUUCUUUCUCUGGGCAACAAUAAAUACAAGAUGUGCAAAAGCGUAGUGGAACAUAAUUCGAUUAUGGGUAAAGGGAUCAGUCCGCAUAAUGAGGAUAAAGUUUUUCUCUUUAAAAAAAUUUAACCCAAAGAAAAGGUCGUAGUUUGUAAUAGCCGACACGCAGAUAGAUCACAAAGCAUGGCGGUCCUGAUGGCAAUAACUAACUGAUAUCUUCUGCGAUGAGAGGAGAUCACGUGGUUCUGACACGUAUCGCCCCAUCAACUGAUGUUGUGGCUGCAAUCGCGGCCCAGUCUUUAGAGAGAAGAAAGAUCUGUUAUAACGGGACCUACUUUAGCAUCUAUUUACGACAAAGCCCCUAUUUACUCUACUUAGUAGUAAUAAUAGCAAGUGUCGGGCUUGGAUUCCGUGUUGCUUUAAAUAAAUAUCCGCGUAAAAAGAAAAUGCUUCUUUAAUCCCUUCCUUGUAAUUUUUCGACACGUGGAUGGUUGAAAUUAGCGUGCCGACAUCUUAGGAAUUUUAUCUUGGAGACGGGAACACUGCAGUAGGCAAUGCCAUUUUCUUCGGAUGGUGUGUGGUGACAACGCCUUGGAUUUUGACGUGCAAAGAAUUUAAAUUGAAAAAGAAAAAAAGAAAUUACCAGAAUAAGCAUAGAAGAGAUAUUUUUCUUUUUGUCCUUUUUGGAAUGGAAAAAGAGAUCAAGAGAUUGUUCCAGUAAGUAUUACACAUGUCACAGGCUUAUUCAUGCCCCAUUAUGGCAACUUUUAUGCCUCGCGGUGCCCUCGGUUCCAGCAUAAUAGCUAAGACUUCAAUUUUUCUAACAUAUUUUUGUUACAAAUAUGAACGGAGUAAAUGUAUAACUUUAAUCCUUUGAAUAAAGAAAUGGCGGUUCUCCUGCUCGUUAAUCUCACUUGAAUCCCACCCAGGCAAAAUUUCUUUAUUUUAUUUAACAACAAUUUAAAGAAAGAAACUUUUGCCAGGUUGAAUUUCAAGUGAGAUUCAUUCGUGGGAGAAGUGCCAUUUCUUUAUUCAAAAGAUUAUGGUAAUUACAACUUUCAAUUUCGACAUAAAUUAAAAUUAUAGGCUAUACAAUAAAAUUGCCCUAAAUUAGUCCUAAUCAAUUCAGAUUAUAAAUUUAGGUAUAUUUAUUAUUUUAAUAUAUUAAUGUUCUAUAUAUAUAUAUAUAUAUAUAUAUAUAUGUGUGUGUGUGUGUGUAUNNNNNNNNNNNNNNNNNNNNNNNNNNNNNNNNNNNNNNNNNNNNNNNNNNNNNNNNNNNNNNNNNNNNNNNNNNNNNNNNNNNNNNNNNNNNNNNNNNNNNNNNNNNNACAGCAGAAAAUAUUUGCUAUGGAUAAGGAGACAUGGUCCCACGUCCCACCGUCCCAAUGCAUAUUUUGUAUGUUUCCAUCUUUUCUGAAAUUUUAAUAAAUAAAGUUUUUUGACCACUUGGCCAAAGAACCUUACCCUUACACAACUUUGUGGUUGGAGUCCUGUGAUACAUGUAAGAACUUAUUUUUUUUCUUAAUUAUAAUAUUUUAGAAUAUAAUUAAGUGAAGUAGGUUUUUUUUUUAAAUAUGAGUAAAAUAGAUAUUUUUUAAAUAUUAAAGAGAGUAAAAUUUGAAUAAUAAUAUAUUAAAAUUAAUACAAACUAAUUUUAAUAAUUAUUUAAUUAUAAAUAUCAAUUAUAACAUCAUAUAAUAUCAAUUAUAAUAUCGUACAUCUCAAUUAAUUCAAUAAUAAUAAUAAUAAAUGUUUUUUGGGAUAAGUAAACAGUCGCAUGGCGACAAUAGUGGAUCUGGAUUAGAGUGAAGUGGUCCCAAGAGGCUGAGGCUGUGGCUGUGGAGUUCUAAAAGUCAAAAGCUCCACGCACUUUGUUUCAGUACCAUACACACUGAAAAAAUUUGCAUUUGCAAUGACGAAAACUUUUCACGAAAUCAAAACACCUCUAAACUAUUUUGUUAUCGAUAUUUAAUGGAGGGGUUUCCUACCUUUUUAACACUCGAUUCACGCCUUGACGCAUCUCACAGAAAACCUCAUGAUCCCAUUAAUCUUGCGUAACAUAUCUCAAAGCCAAUGCAAGUGAUCUUGUUGCCUACUUCCCUUUGACGAUUCAAAAUUGUUGAAAAUAAUUCUUUUUUUUUUUAACCUCAAGGAAGUGACAAAAUAUAAAAGAAUAUUUUCUACACAUUAAACAUCUAGAUUUUUUUUUCUUUUCUUUUUAGAGUACUUGCACAAACCGUUUCCAAGAGAGACCUUUUUUUUUUUUUUUUUUUUCCGGGCUUGGUUACUAAUUUGGUGUGAAUACUCUAUGGUGAAAAAGGAAUCACAAAGCUGUAAUCAAUUUUUUUGCAUCAUUUAGUUGUAACUUGAACAUUGGGAGGUUUAUAAAGAAUUAAAUUAAUUAUAAUGCCUCUACUAGGAAAAGUUCAGAGUAGCCCUUCACAACUUUUUAAAGGCUUAAUAAUUUUCGCUUUCUUCCUCUCAUAACAUAACAAAAAAUUAAGAGCUUUACUCGUACACGUCCUAUGGCUAUAUAGUAUUGGGUUCUCUACUUCAAUCGGCUAUCUCAAACCGAAGGUUAUUUGGACACACCAGCAGUCACGUUUGGAAACUCUCAAAUGCUUGGAUUGUAAUUCUUGUGGAUGAGAUCAUCUAAAUCUUGGGCCCAAGCCGGACAAUGGGUGGACAAAGAACCCUAAAAUACAGUAAAGCUUCUAACACCCCACUAAAACUCUUAAGAAAUCCUACCUUUUAUUUUUAUAUCUCUUUCUUUUAGAAAUUAUAGAGAAGACAUAGCAUUUUAAUUAUUUUCCCUGCCAUUGAAAAUAAAUUCUGUAAACAUAUUUUUUCAUAAUAAAAUUAUUGUUAUUAGAUAAUUUAUUUCUUCAUUGUUUCAAAAUUAUUAUAAUUUUAUCAACAAAAUUAGUUAUGUCAUAUAUUAGGAUUAAAAUUAAUUAGGAUCCAUAACUUGUAAAGACAUUUUAGUUUAAUUGAAUUCAUAUUUGUCAUUUUAUGUAAUUUUCAAUAAAAAUACGACUAUGAGUGCAAAAGUGGGAUGACAUAAUAUUAAAAGAGUGUGAAAUAAUCGGUAAUUGAAAUGGAUUGAAAUCAUAAUAGAGUAUGAAAAUCAGAAUAAAUUGUUUACUUUAGUUGUAGAAAUCAAAAUUAAAAUAAACCAUAUUAUCAUUGAUGUAUAUAUGUUUUCUUGUAAUCGAAAUGAAUUCUUAUAAGUUACUAUAAGACCCUUAUGGUGUGUUUACUAAUCAGAAAUCAGAAUGGAGUGGAAUUUGAAUAUAGAAUGGUAGGGGUAUUCGCGGAUCGGAUUUUACGGAUUGGACAUUAAUUCAUAUCCGAUCCAUAAUUUUACGGAUUAUAAAUUCUCAACACAAUCCAAAUCCAAUCUAUAUGUUUGCAGAUCGGAUGCGGAUUUGACUCAAUUCAUAUCCAAUCCACUAUUUGACGGAUUGAUUUUGGAAUUAAAAAUUUUUAAUUUUGUCCAAUCUAUGAGGUAAUUAAAUUUAAAAAUCUAAUAUAAAAAUAAUUUAUUAAAUAAAAAAUUAACGUAAAAAUAAUUUUACUACCAAUUAAAUUCAAAAUUGAACAAGAUUUAAAUAAAUUAAUUAUUUAAAUAAAACUAGAAUAAUUUAUUUAAAAUUUUUAAAUAUAACAUAUCGAAAAAAAAUUCAUUUGUUUAGAUUAAUAUAUGAAAAUUAACUAAAAUUAUGAAUUUAAAUGUUGAAAUUUGAGAGCUUGGAUGUAACAGGAAGAAAUUAAGAAACUUGAAGAACUUGAAAAGAAAGUAACAAAUUAAGCUUAACUACCUCUAAUGGUGAAGUGAAACAGUGAUGGUUUGUGCGUGCAAUGGGGUACAAAUUUGGCAUUAUAUGCCAAAAUAUUUUGUUUGGCUUUAGAAUUUUUAAUGUUUAGGAAGCUAUAUUUGUUUAUUUAAUUACUCAAAUAUUUAAUUAUUUUUUAUUUUAUGUUAUUAUUGAAUAAGAUAUAAUAUUGUGUUAAUUUAGCUAUACUUUAAUUAAUUAAUUAAUUUAUUAGUAAGUAGCAUUGCUACAUUUAUAAGUUUUAUUUUUUAUUAAAUAAAUACUUUUUUUUUUCAGAUUCACGAAUUUUUACGGAUUUACAGAAAUAAAUCCAUAUCUAAUCCAUCGACUGUGGUUUUUUAAAUUUUCAUUCCAAUCCGAUCUACCAAUCCACAAAUUAUAUUUUUACGGAUCGGACGAAUUGAGCGGAUCAAAUUGGGUUCUGAACACCCCUAGAGAAUGAGAAUCAAAAUAAAUUAUUUACUUUAGUUGUGUGAAUCGGAAUUGGAAUAAAUUGUACUGUCAUUGAUGUGUUUACUUUAUCUUGGAAUCAGAAUGAAUAAUUUCAAAUUACUAAACUGACCUUAAUUUUUUAUUGUAAUAAUAAUAGUAGUAGUAGUAGUAAUAGUAGUAAUUUUCUAUUAUUAUUAUUAUUUUCUCUCUCUUUUGUUUUUAUUUUUUUAUUUUUCUCUUCUUCUUCUCUUCCUCUUUUUUUAUUUUUCUCUAAUUCAUCGAUACUUCUUCUUCUUCUUUUUUCUUUCGUUUUUAUUUUUAAUUUUUCCCUUCUUUAUCGUUCCUUCUUCUCCGUCCAUUCUCUAUCUUCAAACUCUUUUUACUUUUUCUCUUAUUCUUCAUUACUUCUUCUCCCUUUUUUUUUUUUUUCUCUUCUUUAUUAAUUCUUCUUCUUCUGCGUCUAUUCUUCAUCUUCAAAUUAUCAAGUGAAAAAUACCCACGGUGCCUUACAAGAAGAAUUGGUUUUGUUUGCUUCAAUUAUUUUUUGUAUUUUGUACUUUUGAUUGUUUCAAAAGAGGAUAAACUUGUAAUAAUGCAAUUUAAGUAGGGAUGUUUUAGACAAUUUUGGGUAUGAGAGUCUAAUUCCCAACCCCCCACUCCCUCGUAGCAGACUCCCAUUCUUCAUUCCUAACUUGGUGUUGGACCUACUAAAAUAAAUCCCAUUCCCCUUCUUAUUUCAAGAAGCAAACACGAUUUUGAUUUCAAUUCCCCAAUCCGAAAGUAAACGCACAAAAAUUGUACCCAUAUGAGAUUGCUUAUCCUCGAGUUUUUAGAUUGAAAAAAAAAAAGGAAAAAAGAAUGGCCCCAUUAGGAAGGGAUUUUAAGUGUUAGAUAAAGCCGGUGUUAACCAUUAGAAGGUCUCCGACCUUCAACUGUAAUAUAUUAAACCCAGAUAAAUUUACAUAUAAAUCACACAAACCAACAUGCCAAUCAAAUAAAUUACAUCAACUAACAACAAUUGACACAUUAAUUUUCAUAAUACAGAGGAUGCAGAAAAUUAAAAUGUUUUAUCUUUUCUCCUUAUUUGUGAAUUGGAAAAUGAAAAUGUUAAACAUACAGAAGAGUGAAACAGGAUGGAUAUAUAUACACACACACACACACACAGCUUUGGAGUUCAAUGUCAUCGUAUUGCUCCAAGAAGAUUGGCGCCAUCAAGCUUUGCACCUUCCAGAUGCUGUUUAAUCAUCACCAUAACACCUUCAGUAGACAUUAAUACAUAAUAGAAACACAAAAUUCACAUGAUCUGAAUGUCUGGUCUAUUUUACUUACCGUAUCUCGAAGAUUUACGUGCCGUAAAUAAGCUCUUUGAAGGUUGGCACCCUUUAAAUUGGCAUUACGUAGCUUUGCACCCUGCCGCAUAAAUGUUCGAAGUUUCAACAAAUUAAAGUCUCCUGAGAAAUACAUGUCACGAAAAAGUAGGGCUGAAACUUGCAUCUAAUGUACAAGAUUCAAUCAGGGGUGCUUGUCCCACAGUGAAAGUGUAUGGGGGAAAGUGCACUUUCACAAACCAAAGGGGCAAGAUGUGAUUAUCACACGAUUACAAAAGGACUGUAGUCAAGAGAGAGAACUGAACAUGCAGCUUGUAUUGAGGCCAUGAAAAUUGAUGAAAAGCAGUAACAAGCAACCAUUUUGAAAACACUUCAUAUGGUCGAAUCAAUAAAUCAAAGCUAAAAUGAUGUUGACGAUCGAUAGCUUUUAGGUGAUAAGAGUCUUGGCACUACAGUUAAAAUUAUUAUCUAGGAGUGCACACAUUAAUAAAAAAAAACACAACCAAUAAGCAUGCACUCUUAAUCAGCAUAUAAAUUAACAAGUUAGUUGCACCUUAUGUUGUUCCACAAACAGAUUGCUCGAACAAUUCACAAUCUUACCUUCAAAUUAGCUCCUUCCAAAUUAGCUCCCUCUAGGUUGGCAUUAGUAAGAUCAGCAGUCUGAAAAGUCAAGAGGACAAACAGAUUGCAAUUUGAUUAAAAUCUCAAAGUAGCAACAUUCUGCAUGAAAGAAGAGCAGCACAAUUGGCAACAUACAUUUUAGAUUAAGAGGAUGGGAUAAAAGCAAAAUUACAAGGACAUGAAGCAAAUGAGCCAUGUUUAGUAUGGCAAUUUUGACCCAAUAAUUGUGGCAGGUCUUGGAGAUAACAUAGGCAUACACAUAAGGCAGAAGCAAAUACUGUCGCAAACUCCUAGCUAACUACAAAUGUUCCAUAUAGAAAAAAACACCUGCAAAAGUAAGGGAAAAAGCAACAGAUAAAGAACUCAAGAUGCUAGACCUGUAAGUGUGCAGAUCGCAGGUCUGCUCCACAGAAGCUGCAGUCUAUCAAGCAAGCAUCUGCAAUGAUUUAAGAUAAAUUUGAAUCCAAAUGACAUUUUACCGCAAGUAGUUCCAGCCAUUUUGGGAACAAACAAGAAAUGCUAUUUUGUAUUCAUUGUAAUUCCUUAAGCUAAAUAACAAUCAUGUGCUAUCUUAACCAAGGUACAGUUGCAAAUUCUGAAAUUGUGAUGCCAUAGGUUGUUCUUAAUCUUUUUGAACUGAAUAUUGAAAAAAUAUUCCUUCAAUCAUAAAUGUUAAAUAAUUAAAAGAACUGUGAGGGGGGNNNNNNNNNNNNNNNNNNNNNNNNNNNNNNNNNNNNNNNNNNNNNNNNNNNNNNNNNNNNNNNNNNNNNNNNNNNNNNNNNNNNNNNNNNNNNNNNNNNNNNNNNNNNNNNNNNGGGGGGGGGGGGGGGGGAAUGAAUAAGCGGAUGCAUACAGAAAAUUAUGGAAAAUCUGUUAUGGAAAUAAUAUGAAAAUGGGUAUGCAUAACUACAUACUGAAUCUUGACUAAUUUCAAUUUAAUUCAGAUAAGAAAUUCCAGUAUGGGAAUUGCCUUGUAAAUUUGCACUCUGAAGAUUUGCACCAGCUAGUAAAGCUCCACGAAGGUUUGCCCCAGCAAAUUCACAUCUUCCCUAGGCAAGAUAAAACCCUUAAAAGGCAAUUUUGAAAAAUACAUAUAAUUGGGAGAAUAUCCAGUAUUGCUUUGACUCUCUUACUCACGCAAAGUUGCAUUGUGAAAAAUGGAACCCUCAGCAUCCACAUCCUGUAUCAAGAACAGACAGAUUCAGUAUGAUUAAUAUAACUGGUUGCUGGAAGACAGGACAAAAUCGCAUCUUGUCACUGUCAACUUGCAUGUUAAGAAUUAAACACGAAAACUGCAUGCUGUCCAAUUAUAAGAAACCUAUAAAAUUCAAAUCAACAUCAAUACUGGCUUAAGGAAGAUAUAAAAAUAAAAAUUAUACCAACCCGAAAUUUCGCAGAUUGAAGAUUUGCACGUGAGAAGAAAACAUUUCUAAGACACGCAUAGCUGAAGUCCACAAGUGAAAGAUCCUGGCCAUUUUAAUAAGAUAGCAUCAGAGGAAACAAUAUCUAAUGAAUAUAUAAUGUUCUUUCUUGCUUAUCUGAGAAUACUAAUGAGAUUAUCAAAAAAACUCUAAGCUACUGCUAAGAAGUCUUGUGUUACAUGAGUAUGAAUUGAGGAGGUAAAGAAGACCCUUCUCCAAUAAGUUACCAUAGAAGCCACAUAAAACCCUAAAGCAGUUACAAACUUACAAUGACCAGAAUAAACCACCCCAACUAUCUAUUGGCAAGUAAAAUCACUUCUCUGGAUUUCUGAAAACUAGCAAAACAAAUGCAUAAAUUGGCAAAUUCGAUGAUUUCCUCUGAAAACCAAAUUAUAGCAGACAUAAAACUUGGAAGUAUUCAUAGAAUAAAAAUCUUUCAAGCACCUCAAUUCAGUAAUUAUUACCAGCUUAGAAAGAUCAAGGCCAGAAAGAUUAAGUCCUCGAAAUCUGACUUUUUCAGACUGUAUACACUUGAUGAUAUCAAUGCGUGUUAGCUCAGUAUCUAACUCAUUAUCUUCCUUUCUCUUAUUUAUGACAGCAUGGAUUCUCUCAAUUAGUCCCUGAAAUGAAACACAUUAGAUGCAAACUAUUAUUUGAAAAAAGAAAUACAUUUUAUCCACUAACACACAUGGAUUUCAACAGCAAUCAUACAAUAAUUGAGGAAGGACGGUCAUAUCAGACUCAUCUGCCAAGAUUCAAUAAGCACAUCAAACUUGUUUACAUGUAAUUUCCACAUUCCACGUGAAUUUAUAAGGUCUGCCUAAGCAAACCAAAGAAGGCUACACUCAGUACUGUGUGUAUACUGCCUUACCUUUGCUGUUCCCCAGAUACCGUCCUGCAAUCCAGAUACUUAGCUGUGAAGUUUCAAGCCAGCGAAACCAUUUUAAAAGUACACAUGGACACAGAUACCAUUAUCUGAAUCAUCUUCGAUAACAAAUUAAAAUGCCCUAGCGUUCAAAAAACUUAGGAUCUCUUUAAGUGAAGUUCCUUUAAAAAAGUAGAAAAAAACUGAACAACAAUGUCAUGCUAAUAAAAGGUAAAAAAAAUAAAAUAAAAUAAAGCAUAAGGACAGAAGUUCACCAGGAGCAUGCCAGUAUAAACCAAAACGACCACAAAUCUCAACCAUAAAAUUUAAAGUAGUAAAGUAAAUAAUCAAGGGCAUGCAGUUGGCACAGGUGCUUCCAAAUAAAAUGAUGAUUCUUUUCAAACAGAAAAAAGAAAUGGAUGUUAAUAAACUAGAAGAAACCAUGUCUUACAAGUAAUUGAUAAUAUUCUGCUUCCCGUAGAAGCUCUAAAAACUCUGACUCUGUUAAUGUGGGGACAGCCCCAUCCCUUAACCAAUUCAGAAUAUGCCGAAAAUGUUUUCCGUCCCUAUCAACAAAGAUAUAGCCCUGCAAUAAUUCAAUAUGCUCAAAGAUAAGAAUCUGAAUAAUAUACCCAAGAGAAGUGCUUUUCCCUGGAAUAAUAAAAAGAAAAUAAGUCAAAACGUUUUUCUUAAUGGAAGAACACAAAGGAACAGCUCUAUGACUAACAUGAAAACCAUAAAUCAGAAUAAGAACCCAAAACUGGUCAUUUGGAGUUUCACCAGAUCAAAAAGAUCACAUGGAAAUAAAAUUGUGAAAAUGGGAUUAUUUAUGCCGAGGUCAUGGCUAAACUGCAAUCAUUACUCCAUUUUUGGUAGAAGGAGAAGAAGAAAGAAGAGUAGGUGAGUCAUCAUUCUUUCAGGUGAGUCAUCAUUCUUUCUCUGUGAUUAAUUGAUAUGAUGGAAGUGUUGUAGAUAUUAAUUUGAUAGUGAUUCCUCCCUUCAAAAGAAUUCAUUCCUUUUUUUAUUAUUUCACAAAGUUUAACUAAGACUGAGUUUUCUCAAUUUGAAGGCAUCGUGCACUCUACCCCUUUCUUUUCCUCACAUUGCUUCUUCCCAAUCCCAAAGGGAAGAAAUCAAGAAACAAUUACAAUUUUUAACUAUUCACCAGCAAAAACAAGGCAAAGAAAGAUGCUGAGUGUAAGCAAAAAUAAGAGAGUUAUACACCUCAGAGUCUUGGCACACAGUAUGGCGACCGCUGAACAUAGCUGCAAGCAUAGAUUCAGGCUCACGACGAGUCAGAGUAUCAAUUGUUGUAUAAAAUUUCUUUCCCCCUGGAUAUUAAUACAUAAAAUAUAAAUUUGUUCACUUAAAAGCAUGAAUUGUGCAAAUUUGUCAAUAAUGUCAUUCUUUCACAAACGUUCACCGAAAUGUAUAACAAUAAGUGCAUCAUAACAUAACUAAACGGCUUAAGAACUGCGCAGAUAUUACAUACAGUAGAGAAACAAGAAAUAGAAAAUGAGAUUUGCCCUUUUUAAACAGAAAGCAAUCAAAGAGUAAACUAAAGAGCUAAUAAUUCACAAAAUUCAGUUGAUUAAACUCAUUUACAAGUAAUUAGCAACAAAAUCCAAGCUAAAUAAAAAUAAUGAAAAUUAGGUUCUUAUAACAUCCGUCAAUUCUAUGAAAGUUUACCACGAUCAGCAACAAAUAGAUAAAUCGCAAUAAAGAAAAACCGACGACAUGUCGGUUGUGUAGUGCAUAAGUAAAGGAAUUUGCAGAUGAUGUAAAGAGAAUGAGGGAUAGUAACUGACCGAUGUUGAGACGAACCAUUGAAGACGAAUCGGAGUCCUUCGCCAUUGUCGAGUGUAAUGACUUGUCGUCUUACUUGCGCUCAUAGGUAUUUAUAUCAUAGCUGACACUGUUCGAAGGACAGCAAGGAUUUGGUGGGCACAAAUGCAUUUUGGAAAUUGGGCUUCGGCCCAAGAAAUCGAAAAUCAGAGGCUUUUUUUUAAAAAAAAUUUAAAAGGAUUAGAAUGUCUAUAAAUUAAUAGGGCUGAGACCAUCUUAAAUCUAUUAAGUAAAAGAGAUAUUAAAUAUUUUAUUAAUUAAUAAUUUAUUAAUUUACAGAAUUAUUUAUAAUUCAAUUAACAUACAUUUAAUAACUAAACAUUCAAUGUACAUAAUUUCUGAUUACAAUUCAAAGCACUAACAAUACUUCAUAAUUUCUUAUUACAAUUCAAGAAUUCAACCUCAUAGCUUUUAGAUGCAAUAAGAAAAAUAAGAAAUAAGAUUCAGUUAUAUUUAAAUUUUAAGAAAAAAACAAUAAAAUCAUAUUUUAUGUAAUUAAAAUAUCAUAGUCAACUACAUUUGUAAUUUCAACAAAUUAUUACUCUAUGAUUUAAAUGAGACCACAAAGUUAUAUAAGAUUUUAUCGAAAUUAUUAAUUUAAUCCAUUAGUCCAUGUCAAGACCUUGAAAAUUUAAUAAUUAUAUAAUAGAGAUUAUUAAUUUAUCGAGUAUUAAUUUAUAGAAGUUCUGAUUGUAUAUUAUUUUAUAUUAAUAAAGAAUAAAGUAGCAUUCUUUUUUAAUUCCGAAGUAAUAAAAUUAUGGCUAAAUUAAGAGAGUAGAUAUAUUUUAUAACUUGGUUUAAUAACAUCACGCGCCUCCCUUGUAGUUUUGCAGCUUUGAAGCUUUAUAAUGAAUCCUAUUAGCUUUGGCUGGAAAGUUAUAUUGUUAAAGAGAGUUUAUAUAUUAAACAAGGUGAUCUAAUAUUUCCAAAACUAAAUUUGGGAUCAAAAAUAGAAAACAUUUGCAUGUUUUUACCUUUUGGAAGAAUUACUUGAUAAGUGCUUCACAGAAAAAUGCUUGCUAUUAUAGAGCACCCUAAAAAAAAUCCUUAAUAAUUGAGGGAUCAUAAUAAAGUUCAAUUCUAAAUCUGUCAGAUAGAUCGAAAGUAACAAACCAUAUAUAUUUAAAUCUAUUUAGUAAUCCAGGGUUACAAGCCAAGCGUGCAAUAGCCAAUUCUGAAAAUCAAAGCUCAGCCUAUGCUCUCUGAGCACAAAUAAGAUCUGAUAUAUACAUAUCGAAUCCUCCAUUAUGUGGAGUGAAAUUUCCAUCGUGUACGGUGUACCUAACAAUGAGAAAGCAUGGCAGCAUAAAUUCAUCUUCCAUGUUAUUCUACUUAUUAGUACUGGUUCCCUCAUAACUUCUCCAAAUCGGGGAGGUCUGCAAUGUGUAAAGCACGUAAUCAGAUAAAAGAAAGAGAGCCAAAAAAAAAAAAAAAGGUAACAGCCAAAAGAUUAAAUUUCUUUGAGAAAUAGAAAAUGGGAGCUUUUGGCAUAGGCACAGAAUAGAAAGUAACAGAGUCAUUUACAGUUGUUCAGAAUAUGCAAGCUGAAAACAACUUUGAAUGCAAUGGACAAUUCCUCCAACAAACAAUCGAAUUGGAUUGUGGAAGAGACAAAAGCUUAAUGAGGUUAUGGUUUUGGCUAGGUGAACUCAAAAUUCUUUUAUAGACCAAGUAGGUAAAAACAAAUCCCAUAUAGAUGGAUGAACCUCAUACCAUGAACAGUUAAUCGCGAACACUUGCAGGCUUAUGCACACGACUAUGAAGAUACUAAGGGUUUCACCGAUGGUAAGUGAAAAAUAUAUGAUGUAUAAUUUAAAUGGAAGCACAUAGUUUCGGAUUGAAUUCAAGGUUAAAGUUCCACAGACAGACAGAAGAGAUGAAGCUUAAAAACUUACAGAGCAUUCCUUCAUCAUCACUGCUUUCAUCAUUUUGGCCAACAUGCUGAAAAAAGAAUAUGAUUCAAGUUAAAUGAUUGAGCAACAAUAAAAAACGUGCAAAAUUAAUGCUCUCUCCACAAAAAUUUCAGUCUAUAUUGGUAAGAAGAAACAGGAAGAAAAAAUUACCUCAGCAUCAUCGUCAUUGGAAGCCAAAUCAGCUGUAAAGACCACAAAAUGUUUGGUUAGAACCAGUGGAAGUCUUACUCUAAAAUUUUUAAUUUUUGAAUUUCGAAAGAUCUCGUAAUGACAAAGAUUUUCAUAUCCAGUGACCAAGUUUUGAAAAUUAGAAUACGGAAUGACAUCAACUAAAUUCACUAAUAUAAGCUAGAGGAAUCCCUAGUAGAUAUAGCGCACAUGCACACAUGAUAUGCAUCCGAAUACACAAUAAUAAAUUAUCUCAAAGUCAAUAAGAAGCCAAAAUUAGAGAUAAACUUUUAGCCACUAUAAGGAAGACUGAUAUUUGCAGUGUGAUUACAAUAAACAAACAGAAACUUCACUACCCAUAAGUAAAACAAAAUAAAUAAAGGAUAAUAACUAACCAAGAAAUGGAAAAGCUCACAUUCUCUGAACACGCACCCCAAAAAGAAAGAAAGAAAUAAAUGUUCUCAUUGGAUCUGAAGCACAAGCAAUCCACUGACAUCCUUCUAUAAUUAGGUAAUUUAAAGGGGUUAAGCUCACAUCUUUUACGGAAGUAAGAAGAGAAUUAACAACCUUCCAGAGGAUUUAGGGAAAUACCACGAGGCAAGAAAAAAGAAAUAUCCUUCUUCAAUCUAGAUAUCCUGAUACUGCUCACCAUCUACAACAGUCUGUGGCUUAAAAAGCAGGUCACUGAUCUCUCCCUCCCUCUGGCACCAUUUUCUCUCAUGUCUCAUUUUUCCCUUCCUGCCAACUCCCACUACAGUAUUGAAACCUAUUCUAUCAACUCUUCCCCCUCCAAUAACAAGACCAAAACCAAUUUUACUCGCCGGUUAGCUAGGUAGUAAAUGGAAAUUUGUGAAUCUGUCAUUCAUCCGUAGAAACAAACCAGAACUGCAUAAAUUCUCUUCUCUCCCAACAGCUUCUUUUCUCCAGAAAUAGGCACAAGUAUUUGACAUGGAAACAGUUUAUCUAACAUGGCCACCUUUAAAGACAAAGACAUACUAAGGACGUGGUUUUAGAUACGGAUACAAGAAACAAUCACAAAAUGUAAAAUCUAUACAUAUGAUAUUAAUUUCCAAUGGAUACAGCAAUUCAUUCUUUGACAUAACUUCAUCAGAUUACUAGGUUUGAUUAGGUUAUACACACAUUUAUUCAUUUAUUGAAUCUACAUGCACUUAGAAUGAGAGGUACCUAUAAAAACAAGUUACCAGAAAACAAUACAGCUAGAAAACAUUAAUCUAAGUAGUUCUAUAGGUUUAACUAACUGCAGGAAAAAACCAUUGAUUUUGUCCGCCAGAUUAUCGAGAUCCUAAUUCUGGUAAAAAGAAAAUGAGAUAAUAGAAAAUCAAAAAUUAAAUAGACACAAAAUGAGAAAUCAAGAUCAUAUGGCAACUAAUAUAUAGCAUGGGCUGCAGCUAACAAGCAAUAUAAGCCAUGAUAUUAUGCCAGAUACAAAUUUUGAGAUCCAAGAGAGAUCAAGAAGCAUGAAUACCACUAAAAUAUCGAAAGAAGUGAGUGCAGAAGGAUAAGAAAUCAGGUUGAUAUUCUUCAUACUUUGGAUCAACACGUAGUGAUGCAAUAAACUUGUAAUUAGCUUCAAAUGUAUAGGCUACCAUGUCAACAUUUCCGAAAACACACAAGAUUGUGCUGGAUUCAUACAUAGUACAUAUAUAAAAAAACAAUCUGCUUCUAAACUUCAUGAGAACAUCGAAUAAUGAACUUACAAUUUGAUCCCUCAUCAUCUUCAUCGCACCAUUUGUUCCAAUCAACCUUAAUGUAAGGUGCUGGUUUCUCUUCUGACUUGAGUAGCCUUUUCCACCAACCUUUCUCUUCUUUUUGGACCGAGCAUAUUAUGUUCCUUAAGCCAACUUUAGUCUUACAUUUCUGCACCACCAGCAACAAAACUCAAAGCAUUACAAAAGAGGUAUAUUUAGCCGCUCUUGACUCGAGUGAGAGAACAGGAUAAAUAGCCUAGGUAUAUCCACAUCCAUGUUAUGAGAUUGAUUAUGCAACAGCUAACUUUAAUAUAAAGCUUUUGCUUCAACAAAGACUAAAAUGUUUGUAAUUGUUAUGCUUUUGGAGCUAAAAUGUUUGGCAAACACCCACUUUUACUCUGCACCUAAUAUCUACCACCCACCCACACACUAAGUCUCUCGUUUGGUACAGCUAUUUAUCAGUAGUGGCUUUAAGCCACAACAUUUAAAGCGAAUUUACCCUAAAAUUUUACAAUGAAAAACCUAUACUACCUUUAACAUUGUUGUCAAAAUUAUUAUUAUAAGUAAUAUUUACCAAACACUAUCAACUUCCAAUUCAUAUCAAAGAGCUUUCACUCCACAAUAGCCGUGUCUUCUUAAGCCAGAACAACACAAUACCAAAGGCCUUAAGCUAGUGAUUUGAUUUCACAACAACUGCAGAUCAAGCCUCAAUCCCAAACAUACAUAAAUCAAAUGCAGAAAGCAAAAAUUUAACAAUAUGUUUGGUAUACUAAAUGUCUUUCAUAGUUUCAUUUCACAGGGUAUUUAGACAUGCAAUGAUAAAUUGGAGCAAUUUCAAGAACCGAAUUGACCUCAGGUAAAAUUUUGCCAAAAAGUUCCAAGCUGAAGUCGUAAAGCUCGCCUUGGACUCCGACGGCCGAGAAGCCAAAAAUCCCCUGAGGCUCGCAUUUCACAGAAAUGUCUUUCGCAUCGGGUAAUGAAAUGGUAAGGUAUACUUUAUCGGAGCGCUGAGCCCAAAGAACCUCCGGAUGGCGACUGAACAUAAAAGAAAUAAUAAUAAUAAUAAUAUUAUUAUUUUUUAUUGUGACAAUUUUGAACUAAUAAUUAGAGACAUUUAACAACAAUAUUGAUUAAUAUUGGAGAAGAAAAAUAAGGUUACAAGAGAGAAUCAGAAAGAUUACCUCAUUCUGGUGGAUGAUUGAAAACGGUGGGUCGAUUGAUGAACAGAAGUGUAACUGUCUGGGAGUGAGAGUGACUCUGCUGUUUACUGGGUAGAGUGUGCUUACUCGAAGAAAUUGAAAGUGAUAAUCUCGGGCAAGCCAACACGUCGAUUUGGUCAACAGUGGUCCAACAAACCAGGAACUAGGUUUUUUUUUUUAAAUGAUUUUUUUUUUCAGUAUUAUAUUGCCCCGCCCGUGGGCUAUUACAUUUUGGCCCUUUUGGGGACCCCUCGUUCUCUUACAAGAAGGGAAUAUUCUUUUCCAUCCACCGGUUUGUAGGCAGAGUACAUAUACUCUUCGAAAUUAAGGACAAAUUUCUGAAUCGUGCCGCAUUAGAAUUAAAUUGAGUCUCAAAAGAAUUUUGGUUAUAAGUAUAUCGUUCAAACGGUAAUAUAUUAAAAAAAAUAAUAUUUACUACAAUGUAGACCUAUCGGGACUUUGAAGCCCAGACCAAUUCUUGAGUCUAGCCUAAUAACACCUCAACAGAUCAAAAUUGAAAUCCAACUUAAAUUUCAAUAUUGUGUAGGGAUCUGCCUUAAUUUAGAUAUGUCAAGACCUGCCUUAGGCAUCAAAGUGAUCUAUCUUAACAUAACUAAGACUUUCUUUAAACAUCACAAUGAUUUAUCUUAACGUAGUCAAAUCUAGCCUAAAAAAAUCUAAAGAAGGAAAAAAGAAAUUAUUUUCACGUAUUGAGAGACUUAAAUUCUUAACCUUAUUCAUAAGAAAAAAAAGUGUAUUACUUAACUAAAUCGUGACUAAAAAUUAUAAUUAUUAUUUUUUGUACAUUUAGCUUUAAAAAAUCAUUAUAUAUAUAUAUUCAUAUAAGUUUUGACAUAAUAUACAUACCACUUAUUUGUUUUUUAAAUUAUACGAGAAUGAAAAAACUCAAGCAUUAAACACCAACUUUUGUUUCAUGCUAUCAAUCAACUUGAGAAAUUUUAUAAUAUAUCGGAAGUUCUACGUCACAAUUUAAUACGAAGCCUUCGAUUAAUAAUAAUUAGACACAUGACAAUAGAUGCUAGAGAAAUUUUAAAUUCCCUCUUUUCAUUAUCCCUCCAAAUUUAGAAUUUCAAAAAAUUAGAGAAUAAAUGUUGCUUGCUCUCUUUGUUAUCUAAUUCUAAUUAUUAUUUUUUUCUCUCUCUCUCCAAUCAAGUUGCUAGCAUUUUUUAAAUCUAUUGAAGAAUAAGAAGAAGGUUUUUGUCGAUGAAAUGAUUUUGGCAGCCUUUUUUACCCAAAGCUAACAUGAUUGCUGCGACUACCAAUGAAGAAAAAGAUGUGUUUUGCUGGCGAAGAAGAUGAUUUUUGAAGCAUGAGUGGCUGCCGUUUAUUUUUUUCCUUCAUAUUUUUCGAUGUAGUGGCUGUCCUCAAGUUUUAUUCAUUUACUUUUCAGUUGGCCUACUAUUUAUUGGCAUAAUGAAAAAUUUUAUUUUAAUAAGCAUUUAUAGAUUAAUUUGAGGAGGUUUCUUUUGCAAUAUUAGUGUGGUUUCUGCAUUGGUAUGAUUUAAAUUACGAACUUGCUACAAUCUUUAAUUAAACUGUCAAAAGUAAUUUAAAAAAUCUUUAAUUAAACCGUCAAAAGUAAUUUAAAAACUGACAGUAGAUAGAUUAGAGAUAGGCUUGACAAUUUAGCCCGACUCUAUUUUUAGUCUGAUUGAUCCGAUCCUAAUUUUUAAGACUUUGGCCUGAAUUUUUUGAUUUCGGGUCGGGUUCGGGUCAAAAUUUUAAGGCCCGAACAAAUUUAGGGUCAGGGUCGGACUUAAAACCAACCCGACCCGACCCUAUUUAAAAAAAAAAAAACUAACACACGCACACAACACAUGACAGUUCACUCUCUCUAAAUCGUAAAUCACACACACAAAAUACACUUACACAAAUUCACAAAAACCCUAAGCCAGCCACCCAGCCUGCUGCCGUCCUAUCAGCCAACAUCGUGACCGUCCGCCGCACGCCAGCCAAUCAGCCGUCGUCUCGUCGUCGCAUGUCUCACCAAUCAGCCAUCGUGACCGUCUGCGACGCUGCGACAUGAACUUGAACCAGCCGCCCUUUGUCGCCGUCCUGCCGCAUCCGCCUGCCAGCCAACGAUCAAUGCACACAGUUGAAUUGUGGGGUGGGAAAUGGUUUCGAUAGGGUCGGGCUCGACCCGACCCUAACUAUAAAGAGGUAGGGCUUUUUUAGGGUCGGGUUUUAAUUUUUUGUUGAUCGGGUCGGGUCGGGUUUGGCCAAACCCGAGCCCGACCCGACGUUUUGCCAUCCCUAAUUAGAGAUGAAGAUUGGAGAGAGAGAAAAAUAUAAUUUGAAUGAGAUAAUAAAGAGAGAAGAAAUUCUAUAAUACAUCAUAAGUAAUAUAACUCAUUGAUGUAUGCAUGAUAUAUGUAAUUAACCUUAAUAUAACUAACACUUGUAUGGUGAUAUUUCAAAAUAAAUAUACAUAUGUUAUAAAAUCAUUUACUUAUUGUAUGACUGACAUUUUAUUUUUGAUGUAUUGUACAAUUUCUCAGAAGAGAGUAGUAUUUAUUAUCUCUAAUUUUUUGAAAUUCUAAAUUUUGGAAGGAUAAUAGAAAGAGAAAUUUUAAAAAUUUUUCAACGUAUAAUGCCAUGUAUCUAAUUAUUAUUAGUCGGUGUUCCACGUUAAAACGUAAUAUAGAACCUCUGGACCUUACUGUAUAAUGUACUGUAGAAUUUCCUGAUCACACACUUUCUCAGUUGCAAAAGAGGUGGGCAUAUGAGUUCCUUACGGGGAUUUAGUGUGAAUCCACGCAAAGCCCAUAUAGAUUUUUCCGGUUAACCGCUAUGGCAUCCUAGUUUUAAACUCAGUACUAAAUUUACAGAUCCAUUUAAACCCCCCAAAUCAGUCUCUCACCGUCUCAAGUCUCAAACAAAAAACCUGACCGGAACCCAAACCGCCAAAUCCGAUUCGAUGGUGGACUGUGCUAAAACCCCUAAAAUUCCAAGACUGACAUGCGGUAAAGGAGAUGGUGAUAGACUUAGCAAUCUUCCGGAGCACAUCAUUUAUCACAUAUUCUCGUUCAUGGAAACAGUUGAUGUUGUUAGAGCAAGCACUGUUUCGCGAAGAUGGAGGUACUUGUGGCUUUCCGUUCCUUAUUUGAACUUCGACUAUCACACAAUUUGGUCAGACCCGGAAAGUAGAUGGUCUCGUAGGAAAAUCAAUGAUAAGUUCAAAGAUUUUGUCAACUGGGUAAUAUUUUCUCAAAAUGGGUCUGUUAAUAUUCAAAGAUUUCGUCUUUGCUGCUGGGAUUAUUUAGCAAGUUACGAUAACGAUAGAACGAUUUACAGAUGGGUUUCUGCUAUGGCACGUCGAAACGUGCAAGUGCUUGAUCUGGCUAUAGCUUCACUAUACCCAUUUGAGUUUGACUUGCCACAUAGUCUUGUAACUUGUGAUUCAUUGGUGGAACUGAAGUUGAGUUUGAGCUUUCAUGUUCACCGAUGUUUUUUAAAGCUGCCUACUGCUGCUGGUUUUAUUGGGCUCAAGUCUCUUGAUUUACAAAGUGUUGCGUUGGAUGAUAAUUUGUUUCCUGAAUUUAUUUCAAAUCUUCCCCUGCUUGAGAAUUUGUGUAUGUUGUCAUGUGUUUUUCCUGAAUUGAAGGUUCUUGACAUUUCUUCCACUAAUUUGAAGAAUUUGGCUCUGGAAUCCAUUGUUGGCAAUGAUAAUGCUGGCAAUGAUGAUGCUGGCAAUGAUGAUGCUGGCAACUACAAGCUUAAGAUUGCUUGUCCAAAUCUUGUGUCUUUUAAUUAUAUAGCUUUAGCUCCAUGGUUACCUCACUUUGCUUUUGAGAGCUUAAACUCCUUGCAAAAUGCAUUCAUUGACCUGGAUGAUUAUAACGAGGAUGACAUGGAGAACGAAAGAUGUCAUGUUUUAUCUACAAUCUUCAAUGACUUUCGUGAAGUUAAAGUUUUGAAAUUAUCAGAAGCCAUUCUUCUCGAGGUAUGAUUUCAAAUACAUUCAUUGCACCAAAUCAUGAUUCUGCCAGAACUUGUCUACACUUUUUUAUUUUGACAUUAGAAAUGAAGCUUAAGUAAACUGAAUCUACUUUCUUUGUUUGGUAAAAUAAGAAUUCUAUUGAUUAUGGAACCUUCCUAAAUGCUAAUUUGUUCUUUAGACUGUGUAUAAGUCAUUGUGACAUUGUAUGAAGUCUCAUUUAUCUGAGUAAUCAAUUGUUAUUGAUGUCAAAGACUAGAACUCAUUGGUGACUUGAGUUUAUGUAUAUUAUCGUUUGUUAGAUUUUUUGUGUGAUUAUUGCACUUAACUUGACUAAUGUAUUCUCUUUCUUUUUGCCAUUGUUCCUCCAGGUUCUUGAUCCUGAUCCUGCUCACGAAGAACCAGCAUUUUUUUCCACUUCAUUCAAUAAUUUGAAGUCCUUAAUACUUUCUGCAGGUCCGGGUGUAUGUCUCAUGCCAUCAAUGCUUAGGUUGCUCAACUGCUCUCCAAAUCUAGAAGCUCUUGCAAUAUAUUCUCCUAAGGUAAUCUUAACACCAAAAACUAUUCCAUUUGUUAGAUACCGUCGCUUCUAUCCAUUUUUUUUAAAAAUCAUAUCUCCCAUUUAUGUGCUAAAAUUUUAAUUUUGUUAAAGUGCAACUGGGCUUUGCUUAAAUUAUCGCAAUAGAGUUGAAACCUGAAAGUAUUUGUGAUAUAUUAUGUUUACCGCUUAGAGCUUAAAGUAAAUGUUAAUCUUGUGGCCUCUUGGUUGUUCCCAUGCUAUUGCUUGUUGAGCAGAUGGUUGAAUUUAGAGUCAAUCAAUCGGUUGUGUUCUUCUGAGGUUUGUGCAAGUUUUGUAAAAGAGCAAAGUUUAGUAUUUGUUUAGUUUGUGAAAAUGAUAUAGCUUUUUCUAAUUCAUCUUACUCUAUUCUUUGCUUAAAAAUGAAUUCUCCUUUUGAUUUGAUUCCUUGACUGCAUUUCGGUCUGUUUUCUCUUGGCAGCAUCGGCGUGGAUAUAAUGCUUAUAGGAAAACACCGAACAAGGCUGCUAUUUCAUGUUUGACAAAUCAUCUCAAGACAGUUGAAAUAAAACAUUUUAGCGGUGAUAUGAAUCAACUUGAAAUUGUGAGGUUUCUUCUAAGGAAUGGACAUGUAUUGCAGAGAAUGAGUAUUAGAUGGGUGGCAGAUGUUAAGAAUCAAGGGAAGAUUAUCUCAAGGAUAAUGAAGUUUCGGAGAUCAUCUUCAAGUGUUGUGCUGAAAUUCCUAGAUCCUAAGCCAGCUGAUGAUUUUUCAGAUUAUUUAUUUGAUGAUGAGCAAAAGAACUAAAAUUAUGUUUAAAUUAAAAAAAAAAAAAGUGGUUUAAGUGUAUGUUCGAAUUAAAUAGUCUUUUGGAUUUGUAGAAACUGAAAGGAGUACAGUGCCAGUCACUGUGGCAGCCUUAUGUUUUGUUUGAAAAAAUUCGGAAGCUUCUAAAUUGUUAUAUACCUCAAUUCUGAAGUCGUUAGUAUGUAUAUUAUAAGCAAUACAUAUGUUCCAUUUGUCAUAUUUUAUUUUGGCAUUACGAUUGUUUUGUCUUGAUUAAUAUUGAUUAUAAUUUGUUUAACAUUUAUCUGGCAUAUGUAGAAUUAUACUUUAUCUGAGUAGAUGACGCUGCUGCGUACAUCUUCAGGACUCGGUCAUAAACUGUUUAUCUCUGCGUCUGUCUAGCAUCCAUCCACGUAUGACCUGUCGGCUUUUUGCCCGCAAGCAUACAGUUAGGGGUGGUAAAAAUAUCUGUCCGGUCUGGAUUCGGUUCGCACCCGGAUGUUUUAUCCGGCCCGGUCUUGGGCAUCAUUUGAUAAAUUCGGAACCCGAGUUUUAUUAAGCGCCUUGGCCGUACAGCAGUAUAUUAUUUUAAAUAUUUAUAUUUAUUUGACUCAUUUAUUACAUAUAUAUAAAGUUUUAGACACUUAAAGUUUAUAUUUUCAUGUCAAAUUUCAUUAAAAUAAAUUUAAAACUUAUAAAAUUACCAAAAAAUAAAAAAUAUAUACAUAUAUAAUAUUAAAAAAUAUAAAAUCUGGGUACCCAAAUUAAAACCCGGCACAAUCCGACCCAGGCAUCUAUGCAUCCGGGUCGGGUCCGGUCAUUACGAUACCCCGACCCAGCCCAGGGUUUUGCCAUCCCUACAUGCAGUGUAUAUGAAUUGCAGUUCUUGUACGGACAACAUGUCAUCCAUAAAACUCGAGUUAUGUUCUUUUUAAUCUUUAGUUUAGAUUACAUUUUGCAAAACUAAUAAACGAUAGAGCUCCUAGCAAGGUCAAUAGUUAACUGCGAAUCCAGAAGAUCGGAAUGCUAUACCUUUCAAACAUGCAUUUCAAAGCCAUCUGCGGAAAUGGAAAACAAGCAUUUCAAACUCGUUGUUAAAACAAUGAUAAAAGUAAUUUUAAUCCUAAUUUUUAAUUCCAGGCAUGAAGCUAACUCAUAUACAAAGAGAUAUCAAGUAAGCAGAGGCGAAAGCUAAAAGCUUUGGUUACAGGGGUCGGUGUGAAUAAUGUAUAUAUCGUUUAGACAUAUUUUUGAAUAUCUAUUUUAAUUUAGGGGAUAUUAUAUAUAUUUAAAAAAAAUUAAAAUUUUUACGGGAGCCAUGGCUUACUAUAGUCUCCAUUAAGAUUCACCCUCCCUACUUUUCGUACUUCAUUAAAGUAUAGGAUAAAUAUUUACAAUAUUAUAAAUAGAUUUUAUAAAAGCAGUCCAUAUAUGAAAGUCCUUCUGCACUCUGAAUUAAAUAAAAAUAACGUGAGACUAACAAUUUAAGAGUCUUUUUUGCAACGUAUAUCGUGCAGUGAUGUACUCUAUCGACGGAGGACUCUCUUCAUAUGCUUUUUAUUUUUCCAUGCCUGAUUAUAAAUAGGAUCACUCUAUGUUACAUUAAACGUAACGUACACACACUCACAACAACAGUAACAAGUCCCAUCAUUAGAACUGUUGCUGUGAGUGCGUGUAUGUUACGUUUAACGUAACAUAUCACUAGCCUUAUAAAUAACAUCACUUUUAAGGAUUUUUACAAAUUUUUAUUACAACCGUAACUUUUGUCCUCAUACAAUAACGGUGUCCAUUGUCCACAUAUAAAAAGUUCAUCAAUAAACAUAUAACCUAAUUAAAAUUCGUGACAAAAUCCAAAGGAAAGAAAGCGUGGAGUAAUAUAUAUAACAAAGGCAUUGAGCAUACACCAGGUGUAAUUUGCAUUGCAUGGCCACCCUUACGUGGCAGUUCCGCCGAUUAACACAUCUUUAAAAGUUAAAGCCCCCCUCUCUCCUUGUUAAGGGCGUUUCAACACAACACUCAUCAAUGCAAGCAAAGAGACAGUGAAGGAAAAAUUAAGAAACCAAUAUUGUCACUUGGAAGAAAGAAACAAUCAUUACAUAUAUAAUACGAUGGAUACUAAGAACAACAGGAAGCAUUUGUCCUGCAUUGCCAACGACGUCGUUCACAGAUGUGCACUGUACGUAUCUCUCUCUCUCUCUCUCUCUCCUUUUCUUUUUCUCCCCGAUCACUUUGUUUUCUUUAUAUAUACGAAUGUAUGUAGAACGUAGUAGGUUUUGUAUAAAUAUCUGUUGCACACAUUAUUUGAUGUGCAUUUAAAUAUAAUUAAUGGUAAUUGAGAUGACACACAAAGACAAUGCAAAAAAAGAAAAAAAAAGAGAGAGUAAAUUAAUGAAUUUGCCUUGAUCCAGUUAAUUUGUGUGCAUUUAGCUGACUGUAAGGUGGUUUCGAGUGUGUUUUUGUUUGGCAACUUUUCACACAAAAGCACUUUUGGGAAGCACUUUAUGUAAUGUAAGUGCCUCUAAAAACUGUUUUAUGUAUUACUGCCAAAUGCAGUGCAGAGGUUACAAUGGGAGGGUCGGUUUUAUACCUGUUCUUCGAGACUUAAUUUCAAUAGGAGAUUGAAAUAUUUAUGAGAAUUAUGUUGUUAGCAGACUUAAUUCUUUUGGAGGAAUUCAUUCCAUCGUAGACCACUCAAUGAAUUUGGUCGAUUGAGAUUAUUUGAGUGCAUGCUUCAAAACUGGAGCAUUAAUUCUUUGACAUAAAUGGGCUUUAACAUAAGGCGCGUUCGCUUAUUCCAUUUAUUCAAGAAGUUGGCACUCAAUUUUUUAUUACUAGCCUUUAGAUGGCCAGCAGCCUUUUGUAGCCCUUUCUAGUUUCUACUAAAGUGGUUAUGUGCAAUAGUUCUAUUCUGGGUUGCAAAAUUAUUGUGUCAGUAGAAUCCACAUACAUUAUGUACUUUUCUGUAUUUAAUUUCAAGAGGCUUAGUUAUAUCAUAGUUUUAGGAUUAUAAUAAGUCUGUCCGUUACCAUGUUAUUGGAAUUUUUUUUUUUUUCUAAAUUAGUUGGACACAUUAUUGGAUUGGUCAAUAAAGGAAAGCAUUUGGCAAGUACUUGGUUUGAUAUUAACAUAUAGUUGCAGUAAAGCACAUUAACUUGUGCAUCCUGAAAUUCUUGCAGGCAAGUAAAGGCUUCUGAGGAUUCAUUGGUGGAGGGGUUUGAAGCUGAAUGGAAGCCUGAAAUCGGACAGUAUUCGAAGAAAUUUGUGGAAUAUUGCAGCAUAAAGGCUCUUACUAACAUGUGCCAGAGCAUAGAAGAAAAGAUUAGUGAUGGAUCAUUUAGUCGACUCACAUUUGAUAUGAUGCUUGCCUGGGAAAUGCCUAGUGCCGCCGAUGAGGAGUCUCAUACUGUAAGCAAUCAUCAUAAUACUCAUAUCCUAUAUUUAUUUCAUGGUCCACCAAAUCAUUAUGAUAUUAUCCCAAUUUUGGUGUGCCUAUCUUCUCUUCAAGUUGCUUCUUCUAUUUCUUUUUCAUUAUACAUUCUCUGGUUCUCAUCAGUUUUCGCUCCAAUUAAAAGAAGCAUGAAUUCUUUCACUUAUCUGCUGAAUCUGUUCUAAUGAUUGGGCAAUAGAUUUUUAUUCCUCUCUGUGGUUACUACUAUUUUGAUCUUGUGCAGGAGUGCAUGGGAAAGGAGAAUGAGGAUAGAAAGGCUGUAAAAGUCACUUCAGAUCAUGAUGAAAUUCCUCUCUUCUAUACAGACAUCAUGCCUCUUCUAGUAAGAGCGUCUCUUUCUGAUCAUUUGAGUGCUAAUGUACCGACCAAGCAUUAGCCUUCACUGAAACUCGUAUAUGAUUUCAUGAACAUUGAUUAAUUGUUAUUUUUGCUAACUACUCUAUGAGAUCUGAUCAAAUUAGAUAUAUAAAUGUUGCGAUUGAUCUUGGAUUUGCUUUAUAUUUGGCCAUCAAUUAUAUUUUACUCUUCAUUUUUAUAUUUGUUUGGUUUGAUAAUUUACCCUCUGGCCCAUAUAUAUGAUGGUAGGUUAAUAAUGAACCGAGUGUUGGAGAAGAUGCAUUUGUAUGGAUGGGAUCCUUAGUUCCUCUAGUUUCAGAUGUUAUUAAUGGGAGAUUUACAUAUGAAAUUCUGACAGCGCCAACAGGAAACCGGCUCCAUUCUCCAGCAUAUGAUAUAUUUCUAAAGGAGAUGGACAAGUAAUUCUUCCAAUUCUUCCAUGCAGCAAUUUUACCACUCAGAAACUUUAAGUGCCGUUUGGUUUUGUGACAUGCAAAUUAUCAUGGAACACUCAAAAUGAGUUGUUCUUAACAAUUUCUAGAAUUUGCAAACUCACUAACCAUAUCUGAAAAUGCAGAAGCAUUAUUACCACUUAUUGAUAACAAUAUCUCUGCUCGACUUGUUUGGGUGCUUUCAGCCGUUUUUCAUUUUCUUUUGGAAAUCUUGAUUUCAUAGAUGCAUAAAACAUUUGCAAAAACAAGCAACUCCAAAGGGUGUUGAGCUGGCUGACGAUGAAUUUAUACUGCAUGUGGAGGGAACUGCAAGCACACAGAGAGUAGUGCGCCAUAUUGGGAAAACAAGUUGGCCUGGUAUGUCUUUAGUUUGAUGUCUUACAUCUUUUUAACUGCUGUAGAAAUUGUUACUUGGAUUUUACUAAUCAUAAUUGUUGUCUCUAGGUAGGCUCACACUGACAAAUUAUGCGCUCUACUUCGAGGCUUCGGGAGUAAUAACAUAUGAAGAUGCUCUAAAGAUUGACCUCUCAAAAGAUGCUGAACUAUCUGUUAAACCAACUGCCACAGGUCCAUGGGGUGCUCCGCUUUUUGACAAGGCAAUUGUAGUCGAGUCCCCUGAACAGUAAGCAUAGUUGCACUUAUAUGAAAUUACUGGAGCUAUUAGCAUCGUUAUUCUUAUUUUAAAAAUUGUUAAAUGCUUGGUAGUUAUCCCAUAAGCUAGAUUUUAAAUGCAUAACAUACAAGGCAGACAUCAGAAAGCAUUCUGAUUCGUUUAUUAAAGUUUGUCUUUUAUUAAGCUAAAGAUAUUAAUGCUGCUAGAUUUUUCUAAUUUGGUUGUAGAUAUUGGUUAGUUACACUGUCAAAUGAGCAAAUCUCGUGGAUAUUUCAUAGUGUGGUUAUGCAAUUGUUUUUUGCCCUUCACUUUUCUAGAUCUGAGGGAAUUGUCCUGGAGUUUCCAGAGAUAACUAGCUCGACAAGGCGUGAUCAUUGGCUGGCCCUCACAAAGGAGAUAAUGUUAAUGCACAAAUUCCUGUCAAAAUUCAAGGUGGAAUGUCCAAUACAAGCAUGGGAGAUGAAUGCAAGGACAAUACUUUGCAUCAUAAGACUCCAUGCAGCAAGAGAAAUGCUGAGGAUAUUGCCUCCAGAUCCCACAAAAUUCUUGAUUUUUGCUUUGUAUGAUGAGUUGCCAAAGGGAGACUACGUGCUAGAAGAGCUUGCUGAGAGUCUGAAGAAAGUUAAUUGUGGACAUCCUUCCAGUGCUAGCUCAAUUCUGAGAUGUAUGAACCUGUCAAUUGCCGCAAGUGGAGAAGUAAAAGAAGGAAAAGAACUGGAGGAACAUAAACAUAUAAGUGAUGAAAGCUGUUCAUCACUGGAAACUGCCAUCAAUCAAUCUAAAGAGCAAGCAAAGGCAAUUGAAAUUGCUAAGUCUACCACUGAGGGCCUGAAAGAUGAAGGGAUCAGUGAUAGUAUCCUUGUUCUCUUGGUAUGUUUUUACUUCCAAAUUGUUGUUUAUGCUGCUGAUUUUAUAUUGACAGAAUAAGUAAUGACAUCUCAACAAAUCAUGGUAUUGAGAGCUUGUUUGACAUUUAUCAAACACAGCAAAGAAAUUGAAUUUUAUGAAAUUCCUAUAGCACCCUAUAAUUUGUACCAAAAAAUCUCUGCACCUUUGGCAUGCUGUAUGGUAUGGAAGUAUAGCUGUCUCAGAGAGGUUACUGUUAUUUACUUUAUUUGGUUUUGUAGUAUUGAUGUUAAGUUUGAUUUAAUAAUGUAGGAGCUACUAAAGCCACUUAAAAGUGUUUUACCCUGGAUUCGAGAAGUUGUUUCAUGGGAAAAACCAGCAACCACCCUCACUGUGAUUGCAACAACUCUACUAAUAGUGUACAAGUAAGUCAGUGCUCCCUCGUAAUUUUCUUAUAUACGGAAAUUUUUUUGAAAGUGCAUGUUGAUCAAGAACCACUUCAUUACUUGGCCUAUUAAUGUGUAAACUUUGCAAAUGACUAGUAAACUAUAUAAUGGCAAUGUAGGGAGUGGGUAGGCCAGGCUAUAGCUGCUUGUUUGCUCACCAUCGUGGUGAAGAUGCUUCAGGCAAGAAAAAAAAGGUUGACAGACAAAUGCAAUGAGAUAGUAGUAUGCACUGCUUCAGAUCAGAGCACCGUGGAGAGCAUUGUGUCGGCUCAAUACAGUUUGAUAACUAUUCAUGAGAUGUUGCAGGCAGCAAACAUUAUGAUUUUGAAGAUAUGGUCGAUAUUAAUUUCAAAGGCCCGCAAGGUACUCAUUUUGAUAACCUAUGCUUUCAGCUUAGCAAUUAAAUAUCGUUUUCAAUCAAUAUUGCUUAUUCGUCGUUAGCUGAAGUUCGUUUACCUACUACAUUUGUUGGAUGUCUUCAAUUAUUGAGGAGUCUUAGUUGCAUUUCCAAAUUGUUCUAAAUCCUCGUUUCAUUUAAUGGGUUGCAGCAUGCGGACACGGUUAUGGUGGCAUUGACUGGGUUAGCAAUAGUAUUAGCAGUUGUUCCAUUCAAGUAUAUUGUCAUGGGAGGUGUGCUGUACGGCUUCAUUAUGAACUCGAAGCCAAUGAAGUACCUGGGAAACAACUCAAACGACCAAAGCGGCAACAGACGUCUAAAAGAAUGGUGGGAGUCAAUCCCUAUUAUUCCUGUUCGCGUCGUGGACAAGCUUCCUGAGUGCCCAAAAUAAUGUGUCGGCUCCUGCACAAUCACAGUUGCCUAAAUCCUCUGUUUCUGAACUUUUGUUAUCAACUUACUGCACGAUAUACACUUCUGAGUUUGCUUUUGCCAUCAGAGUAGAACUGUAUCUGAAACACAGCAUACACUUAAAUGCUCAUUACAAAUUUGGAGAAAAGCACAAGUAGAAAAGGAUUGAAGACAUUCAGUAACGUUGAAAUUCUGCAUUUUCUUUAAUUUUUGUUAUGAACAAGUUUCUUAAUUAUUUGUUCUCUUGAUGUAAAAUAGCAUAUUGCUGGGAGUAAUGAAGAUGUGACUGUGCUUUUCCUAUUAGCAUGUUAAUAAAAGCAAAAUGGAAAAUUAUUAGUUACGUCCUCUCGUUUUGCGGCUUAUUGAGCUAACAAGUAACUUCUUCAUUACUAGCGUGCAAGUUUGCAACUAGUGAAUCUCAAAUAUAACUCUACCCAAUGGAUGGAUGUACGAUGGAUGUACCUACCCAAUCAUUUAUUUCUCAUUAAAUCUGUUAAAACAGAAAAAGUCCCGACGUCAUAUUCUUCGCGCCUUUUAAAAAACGACACGUGUCGUAUCCCACUACUCGCGUGCUGGAAACUUUAACCCACUCUGACUGCGUGACAGCAGAUCAUUCCCAAUUCAUUUCAGUUUCACUGUCACUUUCACUCCUCCUCAGGCGCCUUCCGACAAACAGGAAGAAUGCAAACUUGAAAACCCCCAAAAACCCUAACGUUCCCCCGGAGACCCUAACCCACCAUAAACCCUGGCUCUUAAUCCUAGCCACUAUGAGCGACCAAGACGAGCAAUCGCGAGCUCAGAAAGCCGCCCAGUUAACAAGUCCGCUCUCAUCCUCUCUCUCGAACCUUUCUUCUUCUUCAAGAAGCAUCCCCUCUAAUCAAGAUUUCCAUUUCUUCUACAAUUUCCCUGAAUUCAAUCAACCCGUCCAAGAAAUCGCGAACCAAUCGCAGCUCCUCCUACAAUCCAUCGGCUCAUCGGAGAUUUUUAACCAACCGAUCAAUUUUCCUGAUGAGGUUGACAUCUCGGACGCCUACGACUGGCUUGUCGACGUAAACGACAACGUUUUCGAGCGUAUGGAUGUUUCUUUCGACGAAUUUAGUAAAGUAAGAGGGGAAAAUGGGGAAGGAGAUGGAAAUGAAGGUGGCUUUCAGUUGGUUUAUGGGAAGAACAAGAAGAAGGGCGACAUUGUGGGUGGCUCUGCCCCGGCCAGUGUGAAAGUGAAGGACAGGAAAGAGAAAAGCAAGGUGCCGUUUCAUAUAUCGACUAUAACAAAACCGCAAGAGGAGUACAAGAUAGUUGUGAACAAUGCGAACCAGCCGUUUCAGCAUGUUUGGUUGCAGAAGAUUGAGGACAGUGGACGGUUUAUCCAUCCUCUUGUAAGUUUGUUAUUUUUUGAAUAUUUUGAUAUUGGAUUUGACUUACUGGGUUUGUUAAAUUUGUAAUCUGAAAAUAGUACCUUUCUUAGGGACUUUUUAGUGAUCAAUUAUUUCUUUCAUUUUCUUUUUGGGUGGUUUGUGGUAUAUGUUUACGCUUAUCUUGUUUGGAAUUUGUGUGCAAUUCUUAUUAUUCAUGCGAGAAUUUUAACACUAUCAUGUGGUUCAUGCUUGCCAAAAAUAUACCAAAACACUUUUGCUUAUUGCUAUUGCUUUAUUUGUACAGGACAAUCUUUCUGUUUUGGAUUUUGUUGAUAAAGAUAUAGGGGAUGUGGAACCUGUAAAACCUCCCUCGUUGGAGCAGACACCAUUCAAGCUUGUGGAAGAAGUUAAAGAUUUAAAGGAGCUAGCUGCUAAAUUGAAGAGCGUAGAUGAGUUUGCGGUAAAGUCUGACUUCUGUGAUUAUGUUUUAUUGAUAAAUAAUGCCGUGGUUCAGCCUUACUGCAGUAGUUUCUUUUUUUCAGCCUUUUGAUUUCUCUUUUCUGAUGGGGCAUUUCAUAUACAGAACUGAACACUGUCCUAUGUAGAGGAUAUAGUGUAGUUAAGGCACAUGUCACCGAUGUCAGCUACUUCAAAAUUAUAUAGUGCUGGAUGUGGUUUAAGCCAAUAAGACAAGAAAGGGGUGUGGCCGCCUAUGAAGAUACAUACAAAUAUGUUAAUAUUCGAAACAUAUACAAAGAAAUGUGCCUGUAAUAGUUUUCCUGUCUACGUAAAGUAGUAAACCAGCUGUCUAUUUAAUCUUGAUACAAGUUUUGCAUGUUUAAAAAAUUAUCUUUCAUCUUUAACAGUGAGUCCAUUUUUAGCUGUAAUCCUUUUCUCAAGCAUGACUUGGUUUUGCUUUCGUUUUCAUCUCAACAGUAAACCUGUUUGCAACUAGAAAACAUUGUAAUUUUUUUGUAACUUUUCUCUAGGUCGACUUGGAACAUAAUCAAUAUCGAUCUUUCCUAGGAUUGACUUGCCUGAUGCAAAUUUCCACCAGAACCGAAGAUUUUGUGGUAGAUACGUUAAAGCUUCGCGUUCAAGUUGGGCCAUAUCUUAGGGAAGUUUUUAAAGAUCCUACCAAGAAAAAGGUUGGUCCCUUCAACAUGCUCUCGCGUAGCUUUGUGAUAAAUCUUAUUUUUUCCCCCCCAAAUUAUGUUAACUUUUACUUUACUAGGUGAUGCAUGGAGCAGAUCGAGAUAUUGUGUGGCUUCAACGGGACUUUGGCAUAUAUUUGUGCAAUAUGUUUGACACAGGACAGGUUUUAUCCCUUGAAACUCUCUUUGAAAUUUGAGACUUUAUUGAUGAUCUUGUCUGGUUUUUUGUACAAUGGUUAAAUUUAUCUUAUCUUAUCUGCUUUUUUGUGGUCUAAUUUAUGAGUGUUGAUGCAAGCCUUUAUUCUACUAAAUUAGUUAAAUUGAGUUAUCUUUUGAUACUGUAUUUUCAAUUUUGUAAUUCAUCUUAUGUGUUUGAGUCAAGGUUUGGCUUCAAAAAGCCUUGUCAGUUACAUGUCAUCUCUCCCUUAAUUUUUUCAAAGUAGCUUCGCUUGUCAUUUGAACUAUUUGUAUCAUUAUUUUCAAUUUUGAUGUGGAACUUCCCCCAUUUAUUAAUGUUCUUUUGGUUGUUUUUGUGUAAUGCUCUUUUGUAAAUUUUACCGUGGCAUUUAUUUUGUUUUGCAUUUCAAAUAAUAGUGAGAAUUGCUUUUUUCAGUCCUAAGUUUAUUGGUUUAUUGUAAAUAUACUGUAUAUUUAUUUUGGUUUGCAUUGGGAGAUGAUCGUGGGAAUUUGUUUCUGUCUUUUCAUAAGGCCUCAAGAGUCUUGAAAUUGGAGAGAAAUAGUUUGGAGUAUCUUCUACAUCACUUUUGUGGAGUUAAUGCCAACAAAGAGUGAGUCCUUUUGUAAAGUACCUGAUCUGUUUCUCCUUAUAGUUUCCGCCCUUCAUCAUCCUAAGUCAACUCAUUGCAGAUACCAGAACGCAGAUUGGAGAGUACGUCCUCUUCCCGACGAGAUGCUGAGGUACCUUUGGUUCUCUUUUUAUCUUCUUUGUAACCUACUUUUCUAAUGAGUUCUCCAAAAAAAAAAAAAUUAUGAUCUGUUUGGCAUGAAAAUAAUUACUACUAUUUUAAAGUUCUUGUAUUCUUUGGAAAAGCAGAAAUCAUAUAUCAUCAUUUAAGUGUUUGGGGUUUCAUCUUUGCCUGUAUUUUUGUAGAAACUAAUAAUAUUUUUUUUUCUGUGGCUUAGGAUUUGAAUUGUGGGAAUAUCUAUGUUGGAAAUUAAUAAUGAGUGCACAUUGACUCUUGAUAGUGGACAAAUAUUUGGACAGCCAGGAAGGGGAAGGCCAACAAAAGUUUUGGGUUUUUAUAAGUUGAAGUUAUGAAUGGUUUUAUAAUUAAUUAGGUAUAGGUUUCCUCAUUUGGGUAUUUCUGGGAGAUCUGGGUUAUAAGAUUGAGAUAUUCCAGCCUGUAUAGAUAAUUGUAGGGUUGCCUGUGUUUGUGAUAUUCCAGCGCGUUUAUUAUUACUACUUCUUAUAUAUAUAAAAUUUUAGACUCUUUCCAUGUCUAACAAGAAGUUUUCAUGAUAUCACUUGGAUCCUACUCAUGCAGACUUGUAAGGCAUCCUUAGGUGCGGUUAUGUGAUCUGGUUUUUAUAAAUAUUUUUAAAUUUUUUGUCAGAGACAAUGCCUGUAGUGACAAUGUACUGACUUAUCUUUUGGUUAUUACCAAGCUGAAUCAGGUUGCCUGUGGUUUAUGACCAUACCAUUUGGUCUUAUAAAAUGUUCUUCCCUUCACCUCAUGUUCUCAUACUUUAAAGCAUGAAUAAUAUCUAAGGGCCUGAGAUUAUUUCAUUAAUUUUUCCCAAGUCUAGAUCCUUCCCAGAGAAAUGGAUGGAUUACCCACACACUCACCAGUAACAUGUCGUACUUUAUGACGGUUUUGCAUUACUGCUGUAUGUCAUUUAAUUUGCCCUUUUGAGGAUUCUUUAUUUUCUCUGGGCUGAUGUUACUUUGUGGUGCUUUUUUUUCCUAUUUAGUCAAAAUAUAUAUUCAUCAUAGAGUUUCUCUGUUAGAAUUUUCUUAGCUUUGAGGAUUCGUUAGUGGCAUAUCAUCCAAUUGAUUAUACUUGUGAUGACAGAUACGCUAGAGAAGAUACACACUAUCUGUUGUAUAUAUAUGAUAUAAUGAAAAUCAAGUUGUCCUCAAUGCCCAAGGAGUCUGAGAAUUCUGAUACUCCCCUGACAGAGGUAUGAUUUUUGCUUAACUGUUGGUGUUGUUUUGUAAAACUGUUGGGCAUCUCUAUGAUUAUAGAGAAUCCAUUUUUAAAUGCUUUUUUCAGAUCUUGUUGUGCCAUGUAUGACAGACCAUUGCGUCUGGAGAUUGGCAUGGAGCUUAAUAAUUACAAUGUUAAAAAUAGAACAUAAAAUAUUGGGAAGUAUCUAUCAUGACUAAUUCUUCAACUGUUUAAGGAAGAUAGUUUAAAUCCGAAUAUCCUUUUUUGGAUUGUGGACUAAAGAAAAUUGUCAACUCUUGAUUUCUCUUCCCAAGGAUGAAGACGUAUCAGUCUGUUGGCAAACACAUUUUUUGAAUUUUACUUUAGUUAUCUAUAAUUUUACCAUAUUGAGCAAACAUUUUGUUGCAAACAGGUCUACAAGCGCAGUUAUGACGUAUGCAGGCAGCUGUAUGAGAAGGAGCUUCUGUCAGAAAAUUCUUAUCUCCACAUUUAUGGGUUUGUCUUUGUCCCUAUUCAUCUCAGUUUAAGUUUUCAUUUAGUGGCCUCGCCUGUUUAAAAUCUUCUCUCAUACAGUUUUUGUUUGUUUCAUUCUUUACUUAGCAUUACUUCUCUUGUUUAAUUUUAGUUCUAUUUUGGACUUCGUAUUUAUGUGAUUUGACAGAACUUAAUCAGUGGAGCUUAUUUCUCUAUGUUGAAAUAGGUUGCAGGGGGCUGGUCUCAAUGCUCAGCAGCUUGCUGUUGUUGCGGUAUGUCAGUUCUUCAUGUGUUUUUCAAACUUUGCCACUUUUCUAUCUGGAUAUUAUAUGCAUGAGGAUGCUACUGAAAAUGUAUUAUCCGCAUGUUUUGUUUACUAGUUGCAUCUUCAAAUGAAACAAAGUCUUGACCCAGAAGAAUCCGUAACGCACCAAUAGUCACUAAUAGGAUUGUCUUGAGAAAUUUACUUCUAAAUUUUUGAGUGGAUGAUAGAAGGGUGGAUUUUAAGUAGCUGACACAUCAUUGCCAACUGCUGAUAGAGUCUGUUGCAUACUUGAGUAUUCUUGCUAGUUCUGGCCCCAUUGAUCCCACUUCAAUGAUUUGCAGGGUCUUUGUGAAUGGCGAGAUGUUAUUGCUCGUGCAGAUGAUGAAAGUACUGGCUAUGUAUUGCCAAACAGAACUCUGAUUGAAAUUGGUAGAAACCUGUCUGAAUUUCCUCCAACUCUCUCUUCUAUAUGUAUAUAAUCCAUUUGGUGAGUUAUGAGUUAAUCAUAUUUUCCUUUUGUGGUAAAAGCCAAACAGUUGCCUACUACUGCUGCCAAGUUACGUCGAUUGUUGAAAUCAAAGCACUCAUAUAUUGAACGCUAUAUGGGUCCGGUACUUAGCAUCAUAAAAAAUUCUAUGCAAAAUGCUGCUAAUUUUGAAGUCAUUGCUCAAAAAUUGAAAGAGGAACGUAUGGAAGUGGUAAGACCUGCAUGCUCAUGUUUGAUUGUUUUGUUAUAUCAGUGAUCCAAAUUGAUUAUUUUUCUUUGAGAAUUUGAUGUUAAUGCCUUCAAUGGAUUGCCAACAUACAUUGAUUUUCUUUUUCUUUUCCUUGGAUUUCGUUAGAAUCAGACCAACCAUCUUUUAAACGAGGAUGAUGGUCCAAAACCUUAAGGUCUACUACGAUGAAUUGCUACUUUUUGUGCAAGUUCUUGUAAUUCACUCAGCUGGUUGUCUUCGGCAAAUGAAAGGAAAAAGGAAAUUCAUCCAAUCCAGUUCUAUUGAAGAAAAAGAAUCCUAGUUGAUCUUACAAAAUUAAGCUUUCAUAAUUUGUUAACCCAUGGAAUGUGAUUAAAACUCAUGGACAAAGGAUGUUCCAGUUGAGAAAGGGAUUUGAGUGAUUUUUAGCAAUUAUCAGUGAUGUCUUCAUUAGAAGUAAGUUUAUGGUUUAUAGCAGUAAAUGCUCAAUAAUUAGGUACUCCUUGUAUAUUGGCUGACCGGGUCCCAUGUUUGUAGUAGGUUUUGUGAGCUACAGAGGAUUAACUUCAGUCAGUUUUCCAUGUUAUGGCUGUUAAGAGCUAUGUCACCAUUUUUCUUUGUUUACAUCAAACUAAUCUUUUUUUUUCCCCCCAUUUUUCCUUAUUUGUGUAGGCAUCAGAAGAAACUGAAGUUUUAGUUCUUGAUACUUCCUCAAACUUGAAAAUUCCGAAUGUUGGAAGGGAGAGUGUUGAUGGUGUUGAUGCAUUAGUUGGUACCACGAUGCCUCACCCACCAGCUUACACCCAGCUGAAACAAGAGCCUCCAAAGGUUGGAAGCAGUGUCGCAGAACUUGACAGAAAUGGACUAGGGUCUUUUGCGCAUCCUGGAGAAGCAAUUGCUUCAGAAAAUAAAGAAGCUACUCAUAUUUCAACACUUUCCAGCUCUGGUCAAAGUAGAGACUUGAAUGCUUGCAAGUCACCUUCACCAAGGGUUGUGAAUUUGAUGCCUUAAUGUGGAUUUUUUUUUUUUUUGGUUAAGAGGUUUAGCAUUCAAUUUCUUUUUCUUUGGUUGUGAAUUUGAUGCCUUAAUGUGGAUUGGAUUUUUUUUUUUUUUGGUUAAGAGGUUUAGCAUUCAAUUUCUUUUUCUUUAUAGGUUACUGAAGCUGCUGUUCAGGCUCUAAAGAAGCCGAACCGUGGUUUUGGAGCACUGCUGGGUAACCCAAAGAGAAAGUUUGAUGGCGAGAAAAAGGUGAGUUAAUCAUUUGCUAGUAAUGGUUGUUAAACAUCUGCUAUGUCAUUGUCACAUAGCAAAAUAACUAUUUCUGAGGCCUGCCAGUCACCCAGUUUGUGCAUGUGUGGUUGGGAAGAAGGCAACAAAGGAAGAAUAUAGUUAAACAUUUGCUAUGUUAUUCUUACAUAGCAAAAUAACUACUACUGAGGCCUGCCAGUCAGCCAGUCUCUGCAUGUUGGUUGCAAAGAAGGCAACAAAAGAAGAAUGUUUUUUUUUUUUGAAUCUUCAUUCCAUGAUUCACUUUCUUUUCAAUUUUUCUUGUCAACUAGCAUGUACAUUUGCCUUCUUGUUGCCUUUUUCGUUGCGUGAGUCAUUAUGAAUUAUGAUUUAUAUUAUACGGAAAUUGUGAGUGGGCAACUGUUGGGCUAUAAUCAAACAUGCAAAAUUUCGGGUCCCAUGACUAAGCGCUGCUAUCAUCUGGAUUUGUGUGUUGUUGCAUUUUAUAUUUGGUUAACACCCUUCUUAUUAUCCUCCUUUUGAUUGUUUGUUUGUCUUAAUUAGGACAAGGAAGCUAUGAAACUAGAGCAGAUUAAAUCCUCAGUCAAUCUUCCAUUCCACUCAAUUUUUGCAAGAGAUGAACAGUUAAAACCAGUUGAUGUGAUGAAGUCUGAACCAAAUAAGCCUGACAUUCCAUUUCCUUCAUCUUUUGGUAGUGGGCAACAAACGAAACCAAUCAUAGAGGAAUCCAAUAGAGUUACAGUAGUUUCCCAAUCAGAAGAACCCGCUCCGGCUGCUAGGUCUGAUACAGAAGAUAUUAUUACGUUGGAAGAUGAUAUAGAUGAAGAGGAACAAAACCUUGGUAAUUUGGAAACUGCAAGUGCGCCCGGAGAGGACGGUUCUGCAGGGUCUGCUUUGGAAAUGGGUAAACAAGAUGAGACCAUGUCUCUCUCUGAUUUAUCAACUAGUUUCCAGGAGUGCUUCCACUCUGCUAACAACAAUAGAAAACCUGGAAAGCCUGAGAGAUCUGAAGAACCUAGUGGUUUUUUGCAGCUUAAGCCGUUUGACUUCGAAGCAGCUAGGAAACAGAUCGAGUUUGGAGAAGAUGCCAAAGAAAAAUCAGCUGGGGUUGAUGGAAACAAAAGAAAACCAGUGAACUCUGGAGAUAAGAAAAAAGUUUCAGCUGUAGAUCAAGCUCAAAAAGAUGAUGGAACAAAAGAACUGUCACAAGGUAGACGACGUUCUGCUUUUCCUGCAACUGGAAAUCGAAGUGCAACAUUUCGCUGAGUCUCUGGUAUCAAUCAUGCUGCUCUGUGUAGCAGAAAUUAGUUGAAUUUUGGAUUUUCACAAUCAUGUUCUUGAUUUAAAUGGAAAUUAAUGCUGGUGGACAAAUUCGCAAUGGUUGUACGUAUAUUUCCAUUGCUUGAGGUCUUGUCUGAUACAGCAUGAGCUAACCUGAUCAUCUUUUGAUAUUCAGUAACAGGAGAGAUGUAUGGUCUGCAGGAGCCAAUGAUGGGCAAGUGAUACCUGAGGCCGGUGUCUAUUUGAAGGUAAAAUGGGCGAUGGUUCUAGGUUUCAUAUUAGGUUUUUGAUAGUCUUGAGUAAUUGCCCUACUAUCUUCAUAUUUAAAAAACAGGAUGGUUUCAAACCAAAGUGCGGUUUGUAAUCAAAAGCAUUUGAUCUUUUUGUUUUUGUAACUUUACGGGUUUUAUUUUUAGAAAAAUGGUUCUGUACUAUGGUUUAUUUCUGCCUUAUUUGAUAUUGUGGUCAUCUUAGGCUUUAUUUAGUGUAAUUUUUCAGUUAUAUGUUCGUUUGGGAAGAGGAAAUGAAGUUAAUUUUAUUUCACACUUGCAUAAGAAAAAAUUGUAAUGUUUAUAUUAUUUUUGUUAAAAUUAUUAUUUAAAAAUUAUAUUUGAUAUCUAUUAAUAAUUUUUAUUAUAAUUAUAAUUUUCUUUUUCCUCCAUCAUCUCAAUUGCUUAUAACUGCUGUUGAGGAUGGUUGGUGCGAUGUUAAUAAUUUGUAAAGGGCUUAGUAACAUCUGGUUCCGUGAUGUCGGCCAAACCAUAUCGAAGGGCUUAAUUUGACGGUCAUCGGGGCCUCCUGCCCAGCUGCCCUCCUUUACGGAUUCCGCUUCCGCAAAUUAUUUUAUAUAAACUGUUGUUACAUGAUAGUGGUGGCCGGAUGAAAAUACUACAUGACCAUAUAAUGCUUUCGGUGCAAUGAGUGAAAAAGAGAAAUUUUUAUGUAUUCUCGGAUUGAAGGAGAAAUUUUAAGAUUAAGAUUGUGGAGUGGUAGCAGGAGUAAAUUAUUUACUUACAUCACUAUGAGAGUGUGGAACGAAAAUUAGAAAUUAUGUAUUUUCUUUGUCUUAGAUUGAGAGUGAAUCAUUUUAAAUUAUAAUUUUAUCCUUAUUUAAAGAAUUGUAGUUUUUAAUUAUAAAGUAAAUAAAAAAAUAUAUUUGCACAAUAAAUUAUUUAUUUUGUUAUUAAUUUUAAUUAUAUAAAUUAAUAAUAAUUAUUAUUAUUCUUAAUCAUGUGAAUCAUGAUUUUUUUGUUAAUUUUNNNNNCGUACAGCAGAAAUAAAUAUGAUAUUUUUAUUUUUAAAUAAAUGUGAUAUUAUUUUUAUUUUUAUCAAUAUAAUUAUAUUAUAUUCAAUAAGGAAAUGAUAAAAAGAAAGAAGUGGGAGUAGAUUUCUACUUUUUAUUCAAAAACAAAAAUGAGACCCACAGAGUAGAAGCCUAACUCUCCUCCUUAGAUGAGUACUAAAACGUUUAAGUAGGAGAAAUUCAUAUUUUUGACUCCCACUCUACAAAGUAAACAUAAUAAUAAUAUCAUAAUAACAUUUGAUAAUUCUAUAUAUUUGUGACGUCAUAUCUCAUCAAUUGAUUAAUAAAAUUAAAUGGUGAUUAUUUAUGAAAGAACAAAAUUAAUUCAUGUGAGUUAUGGUUAAUAAAUAAAUAAAAUAUAAAAUGUUAAAUUUUGACUAUAAACUAAUUUCAAUAUCUAAUAAUUUAAAAGCUCAAUAGAGCUAUGAUAAAAACUAAAGGGAGGAUUCUUAAUCCGAUCCGGGAUCUUAAUCAGUUCAGGACCGAUCCACUUCCAGCUAUUACGCGUCAAACAUCCAUUUGACGAUUGACGUGUCACGCCAUCUCACUGUCCUCACAAGAAAACCCGUUACCUUCAAAAUGCUCCAAACCCAUCAACGCCGAAUUCAAAUCAAGCCCCAAGACCAAAUACAAAGCAAAAACAAAUAAACAAACGUCUGUUCAUUCAGUCUGAAAAAAUCAAAAGAAGUAAAAGGAUUGGCGAUGGCGAUGGCGGUUGAAGGAGGAGGGACAUUAUCGGAGAUAUAUCAAAGUGCGAAGAAGUUGCUGUUGAGAGCGAGAGACGGAGUUGAGAAACUGGAGAGACUGGAGAGCUCGACGUCGACUGGGGGAUACGAUUCGCCGGAGCUCUCCUUCGCUGUCAAGAAAGAUAUUUCUCAGAUCCAGUCACUCUGCGUCGAGAUGGAUCGCCUAUGGCGCUCCAUCGCCGACAAGUCUCAGCGCGAUCUCUGGAAGAGGUACCUAUUCAUUUACUGUUUUGCCACGUGGCACCGAAUCAACCUUGUGUCGUGUCCUAAUUGCUCUACGCCAGUUCGGUUGCAAUUCUGUGCAUGAACCGCAAUUUUUAUACUGAAUAUUACAUUAUUGAUUUUGUCUGAGCGACAAGGCAUGCUUCCACGUUUACUUGUUGCUUAGUUUUAUUGUUUUGCCUUCUAUGUUAACAGUCUAUAUAAGUUUUAUAUGUGUUACAGGCAUGUGUAUAUAUGGAAGUACAUUAAUAGCUGUUCAUGCUGUUGCUUGCUUGAGGUCGUUGGUAUAUUUGCAUUUGGAACUAAAUGUGCUUGGUGUGGGUUCGCUAUGUGUGUGUGUGUGUGUGUGUUUGUUUGCGUUUGAUGUUAAAUGGAAUUACCUUCUAUCGAGUCAGUGCCGCAAUUUGAUUGCUUGGUUUUUCAGAGGUGUGUUUUUAUGUUAUGUCAUGCAGAAAAGUUGAACAAGUAGCAGAAGAGGCUGAAUCAUUGAAAGAGAGUCUCGAUAAGUACUUUUUAAGAAAUCAGAGACGGAUAAAUGAAGCUAGAGAGAGGGCGGAAUUGCUUGGAAGAGCUGUAUGUUUAUUCAGUUUUCGUUAGAAGUUUUGAACGGAUUCUGUAGUGUUUUUCUUGUCUGGAAACGAGAAUUAGCUUUCCAAUCUGAUGAAUUUCUUUUAUGUUAUAGAAUGGAGAGUCGUCUCAUAUUUUGAGAAUUUUUGACGAGGAGGCGCAAGCAAUGCAGUCAGUACGCAAUUCAUCGAGGAUGUUGCAAGAAUCGUUUGCAACUGGGACAGCCAUUCUUGCCAAAUAUGCAGAACAAAGGGAGCAUCUAAAGGUAUUGACACUUAAGCUCCUUGUUUACAUGCACAGUUGCACACUAGAAAUUUUUGCCAAGCUCACUCAAACUGUGUGCAAACAAAGUUCACUAAACAGGGUCAAAUGAGAAAUUUACAUUCUUGUCAUGGUUGUAUUCUUAACAUGAUUAAAUAUUUAAAUGAGAACAAUGUUAGAUCCUCAAAGCAAUUAUCUUUAAUAUUGAUUUAUACUACUGCUAUAGAAAUUAUAAGUGUUUGCAGCACCUGCACAAAUGGCUGCAGAGAAUUUAGUCUGUCUAUGGUAAUAAUUUUAAAAGCUGGUAACUCCAAAUAUUCAACAGUGGCUGACAAAAACAAUCCUCAAGUUUUAAAGUAAAAGCAAACUUUGCUUUGAAAUAAUCAGUGACAACAAUGACGUGAAAGUGUCACCAACUGUUUAUAUAUAAUAUCUCCAAUAUUCCAGAAUUUAGUUUCAUAAUGGCUGGCAAAGACUUGGUUUUUUUAAGGUUUAAAGUAAAAACGAUCUCUGCUUUGAAAUGUUCAGUGGCAACAGUGAUGUAAAAUGAUCAGCAACUGUUCAUAUCUAGUAUCUCCAAUGUUUAGAAUUUUGUUUAAAAGAUCCGUUCCAUCCAUAAAAAAAUUUCAUUCUGAAUAAGCAACUCAAGAUUACACUUCGCAAGAACACACCAUCUACCAUUUCUCACAAAUUUAAAUGUCACAACCUAUGAUCCAUUACCAAUUGUGAGAAACGGCAGAUUAUUUGUUCUAAUGAAGUGUAAUUUGAGUUGCUUAUUUAAAAUGAAAUUCUUUUAUGGGUAGAAGGGAACUUCUAAACGAAGUUCUAGGAAUCAAAUUAGCUGUUUAGAUUUGAAUAGUUGGUGAUGCUUUGAUGUCACUGUUGCCACUGAUUCUUCUCGAAAAGAAACAGAUUUUUAAAUGGUAUUAUAGAGGUCACAGAAAAAAAAUAGUCAUGCUAUCAUUGAUAGCACUUGCCACUGAUGUUGAUAAUGAGUUUAACUGAUUAACUUCCAUCUUUGGUUCAGAAAGCACAAAGGAAAGCUCUGGAUGUUCUCAACACUGUGGGUCUGUCCAAUUCAGUAUUGAGGCUCAUUGAGAGGAGGAACCGUGUCGAUACAUGGAUCAAAUACGUAGGAAUGGUUUCUACAGUGGUCAUCUUAUAUUUCUUCUGGAGGUGGACUAGGUGAUCCGAUCUUCAUACUUAGCCACGCAUAGAUCAUUAAUCCGCAUACUUUGGAAUGAUUAAGUUUUGUUCUUGAUAUUUGCCCCAUAAGAGGGUUAAUGAGGAUGUACAAGGCAUUCUUUGAUGAGAGACUAUCCUCUUAUGAGGAUGUAUAAAGCAUUCUUUGUUAAGAGACUAACUCGUAUAGGACGGACUCCCAAAGAAGGUUCUUUGCAAUUCUUGAACAUUUAGAGCGAAGUUGACGAAACGUGCUAGUUGUUUUUGUAUUUUGGCAAAAGGGGAAUUACAGAGUUCGAAGAUUCUAAGAAAUGCGCCAAUUUUGUUUUGUUGUCAGAACGCAAAAACGGCCUGAUUGUGGACGGUUAAAUCCGGAAUUAUGUAGUGGAUUUGCAGUUAUUGAAGGGCAUGCUUGGGAAAAUAAUAUGGUCAAAUAAAAUCAAGAACAAUUAUAUUGUAUCUGCUGUUUAUGCGUCCGUACUUGAAGGUGUCCACGUGGCUGGUGUGUGUUUGUUAAACCAGUAAAAUUAAGUAGUGCGAAGUUCUGAUCGCCGCUCAUUGAUUGUUUUUUUUUUUAACUUUAAAUAAACUAUGAGAAAAGGCUUUGAAUGAGUCGCAGAUAAAUUAAAGUUUUUUUUUUCUUCUUCUAAAUUUAUAUCCAAUGGUUCGGCACAUGUUAUUUUCUUUAUUUUUAGUGCACACGGUAAACUAUUGAUAGUAUUUGGUGUAAACUCACUUUCAAAUCGAUGCUUCACGAAAAGUCCAAAUGACGCGCUAUGAAAGUAAUAUAGAUAACUAGGAUAAGUGGAAAUGAUAAACGAAUAAAAUGAAGUAAAAAGAAUUUUUCAUUUUUAAGGGUUACAAAAUAAGAAUAGUUAAUUACUUAAUUAGUUGACUUGCUAAAAAUUUUUCAUGCAAACAAAUGGUCUGGACUGGAAUCCGUUUAAAUGGAUAGGAAGAAAAUUAGAGUGUCGUAAAAGUACUGGAGUUUCAAAUCCCCUCACGUAGUCACAAGGAUUAGAAGAAAAUUGAAUUGUUAGGCAAAAUGAAAAAAAAGAAAAAAGCUUAACAUUUUUAUUUUCUAAAAAAAUGUUUUUCUUAGUUGUUUUGUUUUUUAAUUUUAAAUAUAUUUAAAAUUUUGAAAUUAAUAAAUGACUUUGAAAACUUGAGUGUGCUCGAGCCUCGAGAUCUACUCAAAUUCUUUUACAUUAUUACAUUAUGAAAAAUUGUAUGAUGUCGUGAUUAAACUAUUGUAUCAAUACUAUGAUAAACAUAAAUUUUAGAAAUUAUAUAUAAGACUAGUAAGUGAAAUGUAAAAUAAAUUAAUUAAUAUAAGAGUGGUAAAUAAUGUUUUAAAAUUAUAAACAAAACAAACACUUAUAAAAAUAACAUAAAAAUUAUAAAUCAACAUUAAAUUUUAAUGUAAAAAUAGUUUAUUUAUUUAAUUUAUUCAAGCAAAGAAAAACUUUACUCAUCAAUUGAAAACAAAAAUUUUGUAUUGAAAACAAUGGGAAUAAGUUUUAUUAAUUGAUUUAACCAUGAAUUUUAUAUUCAUGUCAGGAUAUUUAUAAACUGUUUUUUUUUUUCAUUUUCUAUCAUAGUAUUUGUUUACUAUACAAGUUGAUUAAGUAAACUUAUUAUUAUUAUUAGUAUUAUUAUUAUUAUUUAUGUGGAUCAAGCCAAAACAAAAUAAAAAUACAUUUGAAUAUUACUAGACAUAUAUGGAAUAUUAAUACAAUUGAAUCUAACUUUCAGUUUUAUACAUAAUUCAUCUAGUUUCAAAUUUUACUUCUUAUACUAAAAGAUCAUUUGAGGUUGCUAUCGAGGAGGUUUAAAAUGAUGCAAAAUCACUUAUAUCACAAAUAAAAUAUGAAAAAAAAUUUCUAAAAUUUGAUUUUGAGAGUAAGUUUUAUCCUUAAUAAAAUUCCACAUAUAUUAUCACGUCUAUUACAUAACCACAGAAUUAUCAUUAUUUGAUUUAGAAAUAAAAAUAGUAAAUAUAUAAUGUAAUCAUUAUUAUAGUGAGUUUUUAUUUAUUUUUUCAAUAACUCUUAUAAUAUUUACUUAUUUUACAUUCAUUUACAACUCUUCUAUUUUACUUUUAUAAUUUAUAUGUUAUUUUACACUUAAUGUUGAUGUACAAGUUUUAUAUCACAUUUGUAAACAAGUUUUACUUUAUAUUUACAUGUAUUAUGUUUUAUUUACUUAAUUCAUGUUUUAUUUUAUACUUAAUGUUGAUUUACAAGUUUUAUAUUAUAUUGAUAUAAGUUUUUAUUUUAUUUACUAAUGAUAUAUCAACUUACCACUGUUAAUUUACUUAUUUUACCUUCAAUUUGCAAGUCUUGUGUUUCAUUUACAUAAUUUAUUAUGUUUUAUUUUACGUUUAAUGUUGAUUUACAAGUUUUAUGUUAAAUUUACACCUCUUAUAUUUUAUUUACACAAUUUAUGUUCAAUUAUAGUAUAUUAUAGAAUGACUCAUUUGACAUUACAAUACAAAAUUAUAAACAUAAAUAGAUGUAUCAAAAAGUCUUGUCGAAAAAUGAAUCCACCUUAAUACGGACCUGUCUCAUUGUUUUAUAAUUAAAGUUGCACACUCUUACAAUGAACUUGAAGAAAUUGAAUUCUCAACAUCAAUAAUGAGGUGUCUAUUACUAAUAAUAGUUUAUAAAAAAAAUAAAAAAAAUAAAGAAAUAUGAUUAAAUUGAUCAAUGUAAUUUUAUUAAAAAAAAGAAGCAUUUUUAUUACAAAAGCAAUCUCAAAAUAUAUAUUUUUUGUAGUUACAAAAAAUCAUGACCUAGUGGCGACCUAGUGGCGACCUGGUGGGCGUAUAUACAAAAAUCAUAAUAUUUUUAUACUGAUUACAUAAAUUCGGUGAUCACAGACCACAGUAAAACCCUGAAACCGCCCAACGGGGUUCUUUACCAGAGGAAAAAAGGGAGGAAAGAAAAUGACUUUUUAAUAUAACGGCACGGGUUUAAGCCAAAAACGGUGGAAUCAAAUCAUUGACACGUUCGUGCGAUGCCUUCACUCCUCAGGCAAACCAGACUCCCGCAUGUGAAUGCCACGUGAACGUAGCUUCUUCACAUAAUUUUUACCCCAAUGUCCAAAUUACCCCUUAUCUUUUACUCCUUUUUUUUUCUUUUUAACUUUGCCCGAUUUUGAAGUCUAUUACGUAUUGCGGACUGCUGCCCUCGCUUGACGUGUUUUUUCUCCUUUUUUUUUUUUUUCCCUCUCCAAACUAUUCUUUUCAAUUUUAACUAAAUAAUUUUUUUUUUUAUUACGAACAUCAACUUAAAAUUUAGGUUAGUUAGACACUU
rnacentral:lncRNA from 1 species